AGGAGAGGUAUCAAAGGUUUUAGUUUAUAGUUACUAUGACCUCCCUUGGCAACUAAAACCAUGCUUCCUUUACUUGGGGUAAAUUCAGGGAAGAUUCCGACAUUGGAGUAGAGAGUUUAUAUCAGAUCUGGAUAGGUGAAAGUAUUGUUAGGAAAUUGGUUUAAUUUCUUUUAGAUAGAUUUCUUGUUUUGUGUGGAAAUAAUUAGUUUUCUAAUUGGUUUUAGUUACUUGAAGUAGUAGCAAAUGAAUAUUCUAUUUAGUUUAGGAUUAGAAGUUAUUUUCUACAAGUGUAGGAAUUAGAAUUGAUUUCCCAAUAUAAUUUGGAUUUUGGCCAAAUAAUAUUUCCUAUAAAUAGAUGGGUUGACAUGCUACACAAAGACACACAAGGAGACAUAAGGGCAUCAUGUAGCCUUAUACAUGGGGUGUGAGAGAAGGCUCUUGGGAGAUGAAAAAUGGUAUACAAGGGUUGAGUUUGUAUUCAAGUUGUAUUCUUAUAUAGAGUUUUUCUCUCAUAAUAAAGAACGGGUUUCUCUCCAUGGAUGUAAGCUCAAUGGUGGAGUCGAACAACAUUAAAUAUUGUGUGUCGUCUAACUUUCAUGCUUGUAUCUUGUUUACCAUUAAAUUGUUGUACACUUGAUAUCUCAAUAGUUGUUUGUUCCGCACUUAAAUCCUAAUAAGUGGUAUCAGAGCUUGGUAGCGAGUCUGGACAAUAGAGCAAAGUUCAUGGUUGGAUCCUAAUUAACUAUUGAGAUCAAGUGGAUUAGUAGUUGUUACUAAUUGAACAAUUUAAUGAGUGGUAUCCUUGUUUCAAUGGUUUGGCAAAAAGCAUUGAUGGUGAAGGAUAGGAAGUCGAAAAGCAUGGAAAUGCUUGACGGUGAAUUUAGGCAGGUGAUUCAAAGGUCAAGGAAAAGGUGGAGUCCAAUGUUGAUUUUGGAUAUGAAUCGGAGGAGACUUUCUCACACCUCCAACGGUUGAUACUUCAUCUCAAUGGCUUUUAGAUCUUGGUUAUGUUUUUUGGGUGGUGUGGCACAUGUACCAAAGAAAAAAAGAGAUCUAAUUUCCAUGCGCUAGAAGUCUUUGACAGUUACAAGUUUUUCGUUUUACGUGGAGUUUUGGAAACCACACGUGGCGAGACAGUCUUGAGAAUGGGAAGAAGUAUGGUGAUUGCACCACUUGGUUGCCUCAAUGGUUAGGGUUAGAGCUCACAGAAAGAGAUCCCGGAUUGCAAGUUGUGGUGAGAAAAAAUCCUACAAAGGGAGAAGGUGAAUUGAGACACCUUUUAACGAAUCAACUGGAGGUUGGACUCGGGGUAACUACACAUGUUCAUUUGCCGAUUGAAUCAAUUUGGUGUCAGAACUGUAUUAAUUCGGGUAUGUAGUUCGGUACAAUAUUAUUCAAUAGUAUUUUAAGUUUAAUCCAAGAUACUUGAUUGAAGAUGACAAUUUAAAUCAACUACUACAUGGGAAGCACAAAUAGUUUAAACAGUCAAUAGGCAUUUUUUAGCUAUGCAACAUUGUUGAUGAGAACAUUAUAUGAUGGUAACACAUACUAAUCCAUUAAAUUUAAUUUAUGACAGAUUACAUCAACCCAUUUCCAAACACGAGAAAAUAAAUUCUUUUGAUUUUACCUCAGAAGCCGAAAGGCGGUGCACUCAUAUAUAAAAUUAGCUCCCCUUCACCAAAUUUCCUAAUCAGUCAUGGAACAAGAAUUGCAUUAGAUGAUGUCUUAUAUAAAGAAAAAUAAAUAUUUGGAAGCUAAAACUAAAAAAUAAAAAUAAAAACCUCACACAACAAUUAGUAUGAUCCAGCUCUUUCGAAAAGGAAAAAGAGAUAUUAAAAACACAAAAGAAAAUAUCGAUUCAUGUUGGUGAAGCUUAUCAAACUUGAGAUUGGAACUAGGUGUUAAGAAAAAGAGAAUUCCAAGAACCCUAAAUUGAAAAUCAAAAGAGAAAAAUCGGAGGAAAAAAUAAAACAAGAAAAAGAGUACCUGCGGAUAUUAACUAAAGGCACAUGGCUUAUUUUAUCAUAAUCUUUUCCUUGUUGACUAUUCUCUAUCCUAACUCUAUUGUUGAAUUUUUCCGGCAUUUCCAAAAGAGAUAUCUCUUUUAGAUUGGUUAAACAUCUCAACCCAUCUGGAAUCAUUUCCAACUUUGUACAGUACUCAAUCCGUAAACUUGAGAGUUUAGGCAUGGCCCCAUUAUCCACUUUCCACUGUUUCAAGUUGCCCAAAAAAUUAAGCACGAGAUGUUGUAGUUGGGGAAAUCCAAUUGAGUGGCAGGUCAUUUCUUCGCCCAGAAAUGAAUUUGGCCUAAGUUCCAGUAUUCUUAGAUUAGGAAGCUUCUCAAGUGUUCCCAUUGGGUCUUCCUCAAUAUUAGUAGUAUGCAACUUUAAUUGAGCAAGUCCUGCAGGGUCAGGAAAUAUAUUGGAUUGGUAAUCCGGUAAAUUCUUGCAUAAACUACGGUCAAUUUCUAAUUCAUAAAUAUUCCUACUAAACAACACCCGUGAAAGAACAUCCAAACCCCUGUUGUUGUCAUUCGAAUUAUUGGAGUUGAUCUAGCCAAAAUUACAACUCUCGAUUUUAAGUGAGCUAAUGCACAUGCAUGCCAAGUUUUAUAUAUGAUUGAUGAUGUGUUCCAAGUCCUCAAAAUUUUUAUGCACUGUUGCUUUGAAAGCUCUGAGAUUCGAUAAUUUGCAUACAUCUUCAGGAUAGCAAAAUCUGUUAUGGAAUGAUUCAAGUAUCUCUAGCUGCUUGCUCAAUCGCAACUUGGGGUGAGGGUCCUCUGAGUCCGAAAUUAAUGAUAUCUCAAAUGUCCCAAUUCCAUAGCCCUUAACCUAAUUUCACUAUGGAACAUGCCCGCCUUCAAGCAUUUCAACGAGAGCUAAAUUUCAAACUCGCAAGAUUGCAAAGGAGAAAACAUUUAUUUAGAAAACAAAAUGUAAACCGGAAUGAUUUCACACAACAAUUUGAAAAGUUUCAGCAAUUUUGCGUUGACAAAAGAGAAAUCUCACAUCAAAUUCGAAAGACAAAAUCCCAACUACACCGAUUAAAAUGUCAUUCGCCUCAAAUUAGGAAUUUCGGUACUAUUUAUUCUUUAAACAUUUGCAUUUCCAUUGUUUUUUUAAAUAUUAUUCCCAAUAAUGUAAUAUUUUUGAUUGAUUAUUGUUGUUUUUGUCUUUCGUCUUUAAAUAGAAGUGAAAUGUUAGGUAAUAGGUCAUCGUUUUAGACUCAUUUUCCCAUGAUUCAAUAACAACUUAUUACGCAACAGUAAGUAUAAAAAUUUAUUUUAUGGUUAGACCAAUAGAUAUCCAUCACUGUUUUUAUGUCAUCUUUUUUCCUAUGGCACAAAUAUUGGUAUUUGACUUUUGAUGGAAUCAAGUUCCCUCCAAAUACAAAAAUGAUGGAAUUUGAUAUGAGAAAUUUUUUGCGAUAGAAAAAUUACAUCUUUAGAUUGUUUGCGACUUUAGUUUGGAUUCUUGGAGUUCGAUAACUAUGUUUAGUAUUUGAUAUUGUCAUGAUGACAGUUUCCAUACCUUUAGGCCAAAAGAGUUAAUGUUUUUUUAUCAUAAAAAGAUUGUAAUUAUCUGAUUUUUGUUACUUUGGUCUGAAUUAUAAUGACGUGGUCGACACUGUUGUUAAGUAAUUAAUUUCAUGUACUUUUAAUUUCAACACAUUUUUCUAGAUUGUACAUUUUAUUUGUCAAACCAAUACAAUAUUAACAUAAAAAUCAGAAAUUCUAGUGGUAACAUAAAUCUUAAUCUACAAGACAGACAUGCAUGAUUUGUAUUUGCUUGUGAUACUUCUUAUCUCAGAAAAUUACAAAGGAAGGUAGAAUUUCUUGAUAUAUAUUUAUUUUUUAUAAUGAUACUUAUAAACUAUGUAAAAAAUACACUAAUUUUGAAUUUCGUACGUACUUAAUUUUCAGAAAAAUGGUGAUAAGUUGUUCAAUCAACGAAUCAAUUCAUACAAAGAUCGUGCAUUUUCAUUUGCACGCACUCCACAAAAUUCAACAGAAUUAAUUAAAUCACCAAUUUUGAUUUUCGCACUAAAGGUUGAUUGGUGUGAAGAGUGUUCACACCUUCAUGCAAGAUUAUCAAAUCGAAUGCAUAAUAUUUGUAAGAAUUUUAUUUUAACAACAUUCAAUUACAUUCAUUUUUAUUUUAGAGAGUAAGUUUAGUUCAAGUAAUAGUAAGUUUUAUACAUACAUAGUAAUUCUUACUGAUAAUAUGGUAAUUUGGUUAAUGAUCAAACUUUACUGAUUUAUGGGACACAUGUACUAUUUUACUUUAAAAACUUAUCUCAAACUAGUAUUAGGAAAUUUAUUUGAAAUAAUGAUAAGAUGUUUUAUUAAUGAUUAAAAUUUAGUACAUUAGUUAGUAAGCACUCAUAAUAUACCUGUAUAAUACAUGAUUAUAUGUAUAACUUAAAAUUUUUUGUAUUUAUAUAUUUUAAAAUACUAUGAAAAAUAGUUCGACUCUUCACAUAACCUUGUAAAAUAUGUAAUAAAAUUUUGUUGUAUUAUAAGUUUUUAAUCAUUUUCAAUUUUUAAAAAGUUUGAAAGUUUGGAUAACAAUAACAACAAAUUUUCCUAAUUAUAUAUAUUUUCAAUUUUAAUCAUGUUAUAUUCAAGAGACAAGAGAGUUAUAUGCAUGCUAUUUUAUAAGAUAAGCAAUAUACGGGGAAUGAAAGAAGUGGAAUUAAGAAAGGAAACACUAGCCAUAUUUUUAUGAAAUUUACUUGCCUUAUAUGUUCUUGAACAUAUUGAGCUGAAUAACGUGAAGAUCGUGAUUAGUUCGUUAAUAUUUUCAAAUUAGAAAUCAUGUUCGGGCUCGAAUUGAUACAUAAACAAACAAGUUUAAACGAGAUGAUUCAAGCCGAGUUUAACUCGAGUACCAAGCUAUUUGAUUCUAUUUACAGCCCUAAUUGAAAUACCACAACGGAAACAUGAUCCUUUUGCAUUGUUACCAUUUACUUAAACAACUUGAUCUAUUUUUAAUCAAAUUCAUACAAUCCAGUAGUUUAAAAAGAAAAAACUAACAUGUCUUUGGUUCCAAGACUAUUGAUAUGUCUCAAGUCUUUGGGUCAGGAGACUUGUUUGAUUAAUAGUCCGUUAAGGUUUUCGUAUAGUUGUUGAAUGAUAACCAUAAUGCUUAUUUCUGAUUAUGGAAGAUCUACUAUGAUUGAACCAAGGAUUAUAUGAGAAAUGAAUGAUAGAUGCAUCGUUGUUGAUAUUAAAUUAGUUUUGUUUAAUGCUACACAAGUUGUGAAGAUUUAAUGCUACACAAGUUGUGAAGAUUUGGCCAAGAUGGAAAAGUUAGGAAAGAAAAUGUUGAAAAAUUGUGGGGGUCUUCCAUUGGUUGUGGUAGUUCUUGGUGGAAAUCUUAGAACUAAAAAAAGUCUCAAGGAAUGGAAUGCAGUGCAUGAGAAUAUCAAAUUCUAUCUGGAUAGGGGAGAAAAAAUUGGAAAAGAAGGAGAGGUAUCAAAGGUUUUAAUUUAUAGUUACUAUGACCUCCAUUCGCAACUAAAACCAUGCUUCCUUUACUUGGGGUAAAUGCAGGGAAGAUUCCGACAUUGGAGUAGAGAGUUUAUAUCAGAUGUGGAUAGGUGAAGGUAUUGUUAGGAAAUUGGUUUAAUUUCUUUUAGAUAGAUUUCUUGUUUUGUGUGGAAGUAAUUAGUUUUCUAAUUGGUUUUAGUUACUUGAAAUAGUAGCCAAUGAAUAUUCUAUUUAGUUUAGGAUUAGAAGUUAUUUUCUACAAGUGUAGGAAUUAGAAUUGAUUUCCUAUUAUUAUUUGGGUUUUGGCCAAAUAAUAUUCCCUAUAAAUAGAUGGAUUGGCAUGCUACACAAAGACAUACAAGGAGACAUAAGGGCAUCAUGUAGCCUUAUACACGGGGUGUGAGAGAGGGCUCUUGGGAGAUGAAAAAUGGUAUACAAGAGUUGGGUUUGUAUUCAAGUUGUAUUCUUGUAUAGAGUUUUUCUCUCAUAAUAAAGAACGGGUUUCUCUCCAUGGAUGUAGGCUCAAUGGUGGAGCCGAACUACGUUAAAUAUUGUGUGUCGUCUAACUUUCAUACUUGUAUCUUGUUUACCAUUAAAUUGUUGUACACUUGAUAUCUCAAUAGUUGUUUGUUCCGCACUUAGAUCCUAACAAGUAGUAUCAGAGUUUGGUAGCGAGACUGGACAAUAGAGCAAAGUUCAUGGUUGGAUCCUAAUUAACUAUUGAGAUCAAGUGGAUUAUUAGUUGUUACUAAUUGAACAAUUUAAUGAGUGGUAUCAUUGUUUCAAUGGUUUGGCAAAAAACAUUGAUGGUGAAGGAUGGGAAGUCGAAAAGCAUGGAGAUGCUUGACGGUGAAUUUAGGCAGGUGAUUCAAAGGUCAAGGAAAAUGUGGAAUCCAAUAUUGAUUUUGGACAUGAAUUGGUGGAGACUUUCUGACACCUCCAACGGUUGAUAUUUCAUCUCAAUGGCUUUUAGAUAUUGGUUAUGUUUUUUGGGUGGUGUGGCACAUGUACCAAAAAAAUAAAGUGAUCUAAUUUCCAUGUGCUAGAAGUCUUUGACAGUUACAAGUUUUUCGUUUUAGGUGGAGUUUUGAAAAUCACACGUGACGAAACAGUCUUGAGAAUGGGAAGAAAUAUGGUGAUUGUACCACUUGGUCGCCUCAAUGGUUAGGGUUAGAGCUCACAGAAGGGGAUCCCGGAUUGCAAGUUGUGGUGAGAAAAAAUCCUACAAAGGGAGAUGAUGAAUUGAGACACUUUCUCACGAGUCAACUAGAGGUUGGAUUCGAGUAACUACACAUGUUCAUUUGUCGAUUGAAUUAAUUUGGUGUCAGAACUGUAUUAAUUCGGGAAUGUAGUUCGGUACCAUAUUAUUUAGUAGUUGAAGGCAAAUAGUUGUUAAAAGAAAUUUUCGUCAAGGUGGAGAUUUGUUAGGAAAUUGGCUUGAUUUCUUUUAGAUAGAUUUUUUGUUUUGUGUGGAAGUAAUUAGUUUUCUAAUUGAUUUUAGUUACUUGAAGUAGUAGCCAAUGAAUAUUCUAUUUAGUUUAGAAUUAGAACUUAUUUCCUACAAGUGUGGGAAUUAGAAUUAGUUUCCUAUUGUUAUUUGGGUUUUGGCCAAAUAAUAUUACCUAUAAAUAGGUGGGUUGGUAUACUACACAAAAACACACAAGGAGACACAAGGGAUCGUGUAAUCUUAUACAUGGGAUGUGAGAAAGGGUUUUUGAGAGAUGAGAGAUGGUAUAUAAAGGUUGAAUUUGAAUUCAAGUUAUAUUCUUGUAUAGGGUUUUUCUCUCAUAAUAAAAAACGUGUUUCUCUCCGUGGAUAUAGGCUCAAUGGUGGAGCCGAACCACGUUAAAUAUUGUAUGUCGUCUAACUUUCAUGCUUGUAUCUUAUUUACCAUUAAAUUGAUGUACACUUGAUAUCUCAAUAGUUGUUUGUUCCGUACUUGGAUCCUAACAUCCAUCCCCGGGUACCAUGGUGCCAAUUUGCUCUCUUGAUUCUGGUCUUCAAGAAACAGAUUAUUUGAAACUGUGACUCUGGUCUCCAAAUUAUCUGAGCAAGAUAUCUCCAAAUUAUUUUAAAAACAGUAUUGACUUUUAUGACAUAAACCUUGAUUUCAUGACACAUUAGUAAAGAAACAAAUUAUGAAAAUAUCGGGCAACUAGUUAAUUUAAAUAGUUGUAUUGAAUUAAGCUAUUUGUACUUGAAGUAAAUAGUCUUGAUUGAAUUAACACGAGCUCUUAUUGUUGGUUUUGAUAUCAAUGAGAUUUGAGGGCAACAUGAUCCUUCUUUGCUAUCAAAUUCUAAACAGAUUUUAAGUUUAAUCCAAGAUACUUGAUUGAAGAUAACAAUUUAAAUCAACUACUACAUGGGAAGCACGAAUAGUUUAAACAGUCAAUAGGCAUUUUUUAGCUAUGCAACAUUGUUGAUGAGAACAUUAUAUAAUGGUAACACAUACUAAUCCAUUAAAUUUAAUUUAUGACAGAUUACAUCAACCCAUUUCCAAACACGAGGAAAUAAAUUCUUUUGAUUUUACCUCAGAAGCCAAAAGGUGGUGCACUCAUAUAUAAAAUUAGUUCCCCUUCACCAAAUUUCCUAAUCAGUCAUGGAACAAGAAUUGCAUUAGAUGAUGUCUUAUAUAAAGAAAAAUAAAUAUUUGGAAGCUAAAACUAAAAAAUAAAAAUAAAAAUCUCACACAACAAGUAGUAUGAUCCAGCUCUUUCGAAAAUGAAAAAGAGAUAUUAAAAACACAAAAGAAAAUAUCGAUUCAUGUUGGUGAAGCUUAUCAAAAUUGAGAUUGGAACUAGGUGUUAAGAAAAAGAGAAUUCCAAGAACCCCUAAAUUGAAAAUCAAAAGAGAAAAAUCGGAGGAAAAAAUAAAACAAGAAAAAGAGUACCUGCGGAUAUUAACUAAAGGCACAUGGCUUAUUUUAUCAUAAUCUUUUCCUUGUUGACCAUUCUCUAUCCUAACUCUAUUGUUGAAUUUUUCCGGCAUUUCCAAAAGAGAUAUCUCUUUUAGAUUGGUUAAACAUCUCAACCCAUCUGGAAUCAUUUCCAACUUUGUACAGUACUCAAUCCGUAAACUUGAGAGUUUAGGCAUGGCCCCAUCAUCCACUUUCCACUGCUUCAAGUUGCCCAAAAAAUUAAGCACGAGAUGUUGUAGUUGGGGAAAUCCAAUUGAGUGGCAGGUCAUUUCUUGGCCUAGAAAUGAAUUUGGCCCAAGUUCCGGUAUUCUUAGGUUAGGAAGCUUCUCGAGUGUUCCCAUUGGGUCUUCCUCAAUAUUAUUAGUAUGCAGCUUUAAUUGAGUAAGUCCUGCAGGGUCAGGAAAUAUAUGGGAUUGAUAAUCCGGUAACUUCUUGCAUAAACUACGGUCAAUUUCUAAUUCAUGAAUAUUCCUACUAAACAACACCCGUGAAAGAACAUCCAAACCCCUGUUGUUGUCAUUCGAAUUAUUGAAGUUGAUUUAGCCAAAAUUACAGCUCUCCAUUUUAAGUGAGCUAAUGCACAUGCAUGCCAAGUUUUAUAUAUGAUUGAUGAUGUGUUCCAAGUCCUCAAAAUUUUUAUGCACUGUUGCUUUGAAAGCUCUGAGAUUCGAUAAUUUGCAUACAUCUUCAGGAUAGCAAAAUCUGUUAUGGAAUGAUUCAAGUAUCUCUAGCUGCUUGCUCAAUCACAACUUAGGGUGAGGGUCCUGCGAGUCCGAAAAUUAAAGAUAUCUCAAAUGACCCAAUUUCCAUAGCACGUUUGGAAUUCUACAACAAUGACUACCGGGUAAAUCGAGAGUUUUCAAGUACCUUAAAUUGCCCAAGGUAUAUGGCAAGUUUAGAUGUGAUUUGAGAAAACCACUUCCGGAGGUCAUAUCGAAGGCUAAAAUUGCCAAAACUCUAAGCAUCUUCAAAUUCUUGACUUGGGACAUUGUUCUCACCCCUGAAAAAUCUCCCAAUUGUCUUGCAAUAGAUCACACAAGAAUGAGCGAAGAUGUUUAGUUUGUUCUUUUGGUGGAAAGUUGGGUUCAGAGAUAUCCUUUACAUCCAAACGAAAAACCAAACCAUAAUGUGCAUCAAUUGCAGGAGAAAAAUCUCGUGAAGUUCUUUUAUCGACCAUCUUAUACAAAUUCUCCUCUUUUGCUUUGACCAAGCAUAGAUCUCUCACAAGAUCAUGAAGCCGACAUGACUUCAACCUUGUUACUGCAUGCUUUCUCUCGUCAUGUGCUUCAAUCUCAACCAUACAUCUUUUUGCUAAUUCUUCCAAGUAACGCUCAGCAACAUCCAUCAGUGGUUCUUGCCCCAUUCUAUCAUUCUCAAAUAUCAUACCUGUUAGGUUCAUGAGUAAAGGGUUGUGUUCCAUAUUGGUCCGAGAGAAGAAAAAAGAGCGGUUAAUAUGUAAGUAAGGGCCCAAAAUCUAAUAACUUAAAUUUUUGGGUUAGAGUUGGAUUCCUAACUUACAUAUUGGGCUCUUAGGUGGACUCUCUCAACGUGUUUCUCCCUAAUAAAUUGAUAUUAGAGUUUCAGGUUGUGAGACUGGACUACUCAUGGGCAAGUGGAUUCUUCUCGAAGUUGGAUCGGUGAAAAAUUCUCUUCUUGAUAGUGGACCGAAGUGCCAAGGAGUUUGGUUGGUGUUGGAUCAGGUGUGCCAUGGGUUGGCAAGGAUCCAAAAUGUAGUUUGGAUGUUAAAGAAGAGUGGGUCCAUGUUUGGAAUAAGAGGUGACCUUAAGUGAUAAGGUGGGCUUGUGUUGAGUAUUAAAGUGAGCUCGAAAAAGGGCUUGUAAACUUCGGUUUAAUGUGGGGGUUACUCAUGAAGGGGGAGAUUUAUUAGGUUUAUGAGUAAAGGGUUGUGCCCCACAUUGGUCCGAAAGAAAAAGAAAGAGCAGUUAAUAUGUAAGUAAGGGCGCAAUACCUAAUAGCUUAAGUUUUGGGUCAGAGUUGAAUUCUUGACUUACAUAUUGGACUCUUAAGUGGACUCUCUCGAGAUGUUUUCCCUUAACAAUGGAUUGUGUCUUUGUUUUUUCCUGCCAGGGUUCAAAGCUUUCUUUCUUUGUUGUUGUUGUUUUUUUUUUUUUUUUUUAAAAAGGACAUAGCUACAUAUAUGUUUCUCUGUCUCUCUAAAUUUCAUUCAAGACAACAGUUUUCAUAAAUAGUGAGAGAAACUUUUUUAGGUAUCUUUUUAAUUUUCCUGCUUUGAUUUUGUUAUCCUCCUUUCUCAACAAGCAUGUGAGCAGAUGCAUUUUGUUUUUUUGAUGCAUGCUUUAUGUCAAAGCAUUGGUCUUCAGAGAUAAUAGUUUCUUGUUUCUAACCAUUGAUACCAUGAUACUAAAUUCUUUUUAAAAAAAAUAUAGAAAACAAAAGAGACAAGAAAAAGAAUAAGGGAUUACUAAGAAUUACAGAAUCGAAAAAUCAUUCAAAACGUCCCUCACAUUUUGUAAAAUAAUUUUUUCAUCCCUCAUGUAGACACCAAAUUUUUGCCAAAUUUUUGUCAAAUUUUAUGUUUUAUUGAAUAUUUUCUAUUUGAUGAAUCAUUUGUUUUCUUGUAUUUUAAGUAUAUUUUGUCUCAUUUUUGUAGGUUUAUCUUAAAAAAAAAAAAGAAAAGAAAAGAAAAAAAAGAAAGAACAAACCAAAACCCAUUUGACAAAAAUCCCUUGGUUCCCUCCUGAAUCUCAGGGACUGACAAAAAAAAAGAACGGCACUUUUGGGGCUCAAGAAAAACUACUCCCUCAAUUCAGCACACUCUCGGUUCUCUCCCUGACACAGGGACAAGAAACAAAAACAGACAAGAAAAAAAAAACUCCCUCGGCUCUUUCUCUGGUCUCUCAACCGAAAAAAAAGAAAAAAAAAGAAUAACGCCUCUCCUUCUCUCGGCUCUCAUCUCUCCCAAUAUUUUUCCAACACAUUUUGCACACAACAAGGCAGCAACCAGUUGGAUAAUUGGAGCUUUGCAUCAGAAACUUCAACCAAGCGAUUGCCACCUACAUUGAGGUAAUUUUUAGUUUUGUUUAGCACAUUAAAUCCAUGCUUCAUUGUUUAAUUUUCUUUUGCUUUUGCUGGUUUCCUUGGUUGUUGGGUUGCUAAUUUUUGGGACAAUUCAUGCACAUAACUAAGAAAAAAGAAACGGGCCUAUGAAUGCAUGUCAAGUGUUUGUGAAAAUGCCAAAAUGGAAAAAAUGAAUUUUAGGGGCUGUUUUGCUUUAUUCUAGUCUCUUUAUGUUGUUUUCUUGUCAAAUUAAAAUCAUAGUUGUAUUAUAGAGGUUAUAAGGAGCAUUGUAAUAUAUUUUUUAUGAUUUUUGGUGAAAGAUUUGGGUGUUUUAAAAAAUAAAAACUGGACUGUAUUUUGACUUUUUGGCCACUUUCAGAUCAUCUUUUGUAAAAACUAACUCCGGAAAUGGAACCUACGCGAAAAAUCGAGUGAGGGGAUAUAUUUUGAGGAUUUUUGGUAACCGGAGAGGUCACCGGCGGUAGCGGUCGGCGGCGGCGGCGCCACCGGCGACCACCAUGGCCGCCAGCUGAAGCUUCAGCUCGCCUGGGAAGAAGAAGAGACGGAACGAACGGGGAAGAAAGAAAAGAAAGAAGAAGAAGAAAAAAAAAAGAAAGAAAAGAAAAGAAAGAAAACGGUUUGGGCUAAUGUUUUUUCUUCGGUUGGGCCAGGAGUUAGUUUUGGUUGGGUUUUGGAAAUGGGCUUUGGUUUAUUUUUUCUUUUGGGUUUCGGAUGGGCUAAGAGGCUGGAGCCCAUGCAUUUCUGGGUCGGGUUUGAGUGAUAAAAUGACGGGCUGGCCUGCUCGUUUCUAUGGAUUUUCUGUUGGGCUUAGGUAGUUUUCGGCCCAAAGAAAUAAAUAAUGGCCCAAUGGCCUUUUUCUCCCCAAUCAGAAAUCAAAUUUUGCACUUUAGCCCCUGAUCUCUGGAGUAGUUCACUUCGGCCCAGAAUAUUUUAAAUUCCUUUCACUUAGGUACUUAAUUUAAUUGCACUUUGGUCCUUGAAUUUUAUCUUUCAUUUAAUUUUGACCCUUAAACUUUGGAAAAAUAUAACUUCUGUCCCUAAAAGUUUUCAAUCUUUGCAAUUCAGUCCCUGAUGAAUUUUGACUCUCUUUAUUAUGAUUGUUUCUUUUCUUUAAUAACUAAUUAUGUUAUUUUUGAACAUAUUCAACUUGCAAUUUUUAGAUGUUCUUAAAUUUCUUUGCGUUUGACAUGUUAAUGUGAAUUUAGUAUUUUAACAUUAUUAUUAUUUUCAAUUAAAGUGGUGCCAUGAUUCUUUUGUUCAUUGUGAGUAUAAAUAGGACAAUUUGACUCCAUUUAGUCACCACUUCAAACGGGAGGUACCCCUAUUUUAUUAUUUCAAUGUCAAUUACGUGCUCUUAUGUGCUCCUAUUUGUUCCUAUGUGUUUAUAUAUUUUUAUAUGCUUUAUUUACUUGAUUUAAAUAUUCAUUCUAAUUUUCUUAUAUAUGUUUUAGUUAAUUUUUAUAAUGAUUCAAGAGGCAUUUAAAUACCUCAAAAAUGUAAUAGAUAGGAUAAUUAGAUUUGUUUUAUUAUAUUUUUCCCUUCUAGAUUGUAGUUAGGCGCCCCCGAUGUAAUAGAUAGAUUGCGUGUUUAUGUGGCUUAUGUGUUAUGUGUUUUGUCCGCUUUUCUUAGGAUUUUGGCAUCUAGAUAUUAUGUUUACGUGUUAUGUGCUACGUGCUCUUAUGUGUUUAUUUGUUUCGCUAUGAAUUGUUAAUGCAUGACGUCACCACACUAGUCCAACGCUAGUUGUGGUUUCUCCCUCCGCUUACUUGCUAGUCCAACGCUAGCAAGGAUUUUUAGAAAUGGGCUAGUCCAACGCUAGACCCUUUAGGUCAUCUUGUGCUAGAUUCAUCAUUGUAUGCUAUUCACCACAUUUUCAUGCAUAUUUUCAUUUUUAGGAUCUUUUCUCAUUUGCAUGAUAUUCCCUAUUUUAUUAUCCCCUACCCGCUAUAGGUGCUAAUCAUGUCAUUUAGAAUUGCAUCCCAUUUAAGCUAGUUCAUUUGCUUGUUCAUGUUAGGAUAAUUAUUUUUCAAACAUGGGAAAUGGGUGAUUAUAACUUUCUAGUUUAAAUACCCUAUUAAUCCAUGUAUAAGAAAAUUAUGUCACGAAUUUUUUUUGCCUUCCGUACCCUUUAUGUUGCAUUCCCUUUUUCUUUGAUCACUUAUAUAUAUGUAUAUAAUUUAAUUUCUUUUCUUUUAUUUUCUUUUCUUUUUCAUCAUUUGCAUCCUUGUGACACCUUCGAGGAUUUAUUUUGACCUUCGCAAUUAAUGCGAUUGGUUCAAUUAAACCCUUGAAUGAACAUGUUGUCCCUUGCGAUAUUUUUUAGAUUUGCAUUCAUAUAGAAAACAUCCAAAUGUGAUAAAUUAAGGGUUAGAUUAGGAAAAUUUUGACUAAACCUCGCAACUAGCUUAGACUAGGUUGAAAGGGUGCCUUAGAUUUGAGUUAAUCGAAUCUUUGCCUUCCCUUUCUUCAACCGUGACUCCCGAAUCCAUUUUCUCUUGUUUUCAAAGACCUGGAGUUGUCAAAAAGGGUUUUAUUUUGUUUUACUUUAUUUUUUUGGGUGACUUGGUACACCAAAACUCCAUACCAAGUGGCGACUCCUGUUUUUUCUUAAAAACCCUUUUAGACUAAAUUUUGGACCCAAAUUGUCGCAUUCUUUUCAAGUCCCAUUCUAGGUCCCUUUUAACUUGUUUAAAAAUAAAAUCAUAUCUUUUAUAAACCUCACACUUUAUUUUUCUUUUCCAUCGCGAAAAAUGGGGCGCGACACCUCAUUUUUAAAAGUUUAAUUUUAUGUCCCUUAUAAAUUGACAUUGAUCAAAUUUGGUCUUUACCUAGAUUUUCGACUAAUUUUUUUUAUCAGAAUCCAUCACGUGCCUUUUACGUAAUCAUUUUUUAAGGACAAAAUUGUCAAAUUAAAUUUUAUAUAAUCCAAUUCAUAGUCCUUCACAUUUUACAAAAUAAAUUUUUUCGUCCCUAAUAUUUUACAAAAUAAAUUGUUUCGUUUCUCAUAUUUUACAAAAUGAAUUUUUUUGGUUCUCAUAUUUUUCAAAAUGGAAUUUUUUUAUUCUUCAUUAAUCAUGUGUACGAAUAGCUUUUUUUCUUUUAAACCCAUGUAUUUAUCUAUUUGAUUUCACCGGAAUAGUACGAAUAGUAUAUAAUAUAUUUCUAUUUGAUUUCAUCUAAACAAACUAAUUGUAGUUAUACACAUGCUAUUCAAUAGAUAUAUACAUGGGUUUAAAACUAACAAUUUUAUUUUAAACCCAUGUAAAUAUCUAUAUGAUUUUACCAUGUGAACCUAUUCAACAUUUGUGACUUUCUCUAUUGGUAAUAAUUUAUUUAUUGAGUUGUAUAAUAAGACCAUCUAAUUAAUGGGUCCUAAUUCAAAUUCUAUAGUUCUGCUAACAAAUUGCAAUUUAAAUCUAAAAUUUCUACUCACUACUUUUAAGACCAACAGUUGAAUUAUUUGCCUUAUGAUUGUCUUCAAUUUAAUUUGAAGGUGCCAAUCACUUACUUCUUUUUGUCAUACUUUUCCUUUGUUUAUUUUUUUCUAUCCAAAUUUAAUUUGAUAUAAAUAUUCAAUAAUAUUUAAGAUAAAAUGUCUUAUUUGUUUUCAAUUUUCCAGUAAAAGAAAAUGAAUAUGAGCAAAAAACUAACAAUUUUUUUAAAUCCAUGUACAUAUUUAUUUGAUUUCACCUAAGUAGUAUGAAUAGUAUGUAAUAUAUCUCUAUUUGAUUUUGGUUGAAAUCAAAUAGAUAUAUACACGGGUUUAAAAAAAAAAUUUAUUCGCACACAUGAUCAAUGAGGGAUGAAAAAAUUUAUUUUGAAAAAUGUGAAGUAUAAAAAAAAUUCAUUUUGUGAAAUGUGAGGGAUGAAAAAAUUUAUCUUGUGAAAUGUGAGAGAUUAUGAAUCGGAUUAUGUAAAAUUUGAUUUAACAAUUUUGCCCUUAAAAAAUGAUUAUGGGCAAGGUAUAUGGUGGAUUCCGACCAAAGACGAGUCGGAAACCUAGGUAGGGACUAAAUUUGAUCGAUAUGAAUUUGUAAGGGAUGUAAAAUUACACUUUUAAAAGUGAAGGAUGAAAAAAGUUAUUUUACAAAAUAUGAAGAACGUUUUGAAUGAUUUUCCCUUACAGAAUUAUAUGAGCGAACAGAUAUGAAUAAUUAUAAAAGCAAAAGCAACAGAAUUAACAGCGAAACAGAUUGUGUACAUAUAGCAGAGCACGAUACAACUUUAUGUAGAGUAAAGUUUUAUGCAAGGUACAAUAUAAAGAUAAACAGAUAAUUAAACCUCCUGAUGUAGGUAACAUGAUCUGUAAAGAAAGUUUUAUGCAAGGUAUAAUGUACCAGAAAGUUUCUUUGCUGCGUGCCACUCGAAGAUGAAGGCGCAGAAAUAAUACGACAUAUAAACUACCAUCCAGAAAAAUGAAGGGUUAUCAUUUGCAAAAACAAAGUACCUUAAAUGAACGAGCAAAUAUUUGUUGGCAAAAAGGUUAAUAUGUUAACUAUGAAAACAAUUAUUCAAAGCAAUUAAUAGCAUUAAAAAAAGAAAUUAAUAUGUUAGCUUAUUGAAACACAUGAUUCACAAAAUGCUUAUCUAAGUUUUUAAAUGAUGAAAGAAUAAAAAGUUUAAAAUUUCCAUAAAAAAAUUUAAAUACCCAUAAAAUUUUUUGCAUAAGUUAGUACAACAGCAUCACUAUGAUUACUGAAUACAUUAAGAAAAACAUAUAACAAAUAAAAAAGGAAAUAUCUUUACUACCUGCAAAUACAACAAUAAAAAAAUAAAUGGAUAAAAAUAGAAAAUUGACUAAAACUUUAAAGUUGGUCUACAUGCAUGUAUGCUUCCAAAGAUUCUUUCAAUCCUUUUUUUUUUUAAUUUUUAAGUUCACUACAUUGCUAACUGAAAUCUUCUUUCAAUCCUUUUUUUUUUUAAAUUUUUAACUUCACUACAUUACGCAUCAUGUAAAACUUAUUGUGAUUUACAAGAAGGUGAAUACCACACAUAUUGUUUAUUCUAUAGGGUUUUACCAUAUAUUCCUUAAAUAUAAAUAUGUAUAUAUGCGCAUGCUGCUGUUUCAGAAGAUUAUAUUUAUGUCUAUACAAAUAAAUGUGUGUUAAAGCUACAUAAUCCUCAAAGGAGGCAAAACACGAAAAUAAAUACAUGAGUACAAGGAAAGCAUUGAAGACUUAACAUGAAACAGAUAAAUGAGCAUUAAAAUCUACAGUGUGAACGUUGACUAACAAGGGAGAAAAAAAUCCAGAGGAGUAAAAAAAUAGAGUGAGAGCAAUAAAGAUGGAGGAAGGUUUUUUAUGAGGUAAAAAAAAUAUUAAUGAAAUUCGUUUGGGGUAAAUGCAUUAGGAAUCUAAUUGGAGACAUGACCAAAAAAAAAUUAAUAGGAUGUAAGGAAAAUUAGUGAACCAAAACUCAUCUGGAAAAUUGGUCCAAAGCACAUUUACAAUGAGUACAUAGUCAUUACUGUAUAAUAGAAACCAAGGCCCAAAUGAACGGUACAUAAACAAAGCAAGAGUUAAAUUGUUCAAAAACCAUUAAAUGUAGCAUCAAUUUUUGAAUCUAUCUGUGUAGAAGAUAAGUAGAGAGGCUAUUCACAAGGAAAAAAAGCUAAAAAAAUAACCACAAGAUGCUCAAUUAAUUGCUAAAAACCUGGCAGAACACGCAGGAGAAUAUGGGGCAAAACUAAAACAAACAGUAGUUCAAAUCACUAUUGCAAAAGAAGCAACUUAGAUUCUUUUUUUUUUUUUUUUUGGAAAAUGAUCAAUUUCGUCUCUAAACUUUUUUCAAGAGUCUAUUUAAUUCCUGACUUUUAUUCCUGACUAAUGUAAUGUAUGAACUUAAAUUUCGAGUCCAAUUAAGACCUUUUACGGUAGCGCUACCAUCUAAAAGCAAUUUGGCUCCUAAUUUAACAAUUAAACAAGGGUAUUUUGGAAAUUUUGAAUUAUCUCCUCUCUCCACUACCAACCUCUACCAACCUCUAUCACCAGCCACCCACCUCCUCCUUGUCCUCCUGCCCUUCUCCUUCCACCUCUGUCUUCCCACCCUCUUUCCCCCACCUUUAAAUUUACGUUGUAACUGAGAAACUUGAAUAGGGAAAUCUGCAAAUGCUUUCUGGCUCAAGUAAAAAUAGCAUAAAUAUGCAAAUUUUAUCACAUUUCCUACCAUUAUGGCUUGGCUGAUGGAGAAAAGAUCCCAGCCAUUUGCGUAAUUGUUGCUAGAGCAUUUGUUAGCUACAAUUGGUGCACUGUCAUAGUCAUCACUCUGGCCUUUUGCUGAUGUCUUCGGCUUUCACACUAAUAGUUUCACAACUUCCGAAAAUCAUCGUUGUUCUUCUACACAUUUGAGCCCACACAAUAAUAUAGCUUUGUCUUGCUCACUAACAAAUUCUUACAAAAUUCAUAUUAUUUGAUAAGUGCCUAUUUUACCUAAUAGUUUGUACAUAUUUUAGUUCAUUUAUAGUUAAUUUUGAGCUCCUAAAAUAAUGUAAGUGGCCAUUUUGACAUAUGUGAUGUCCUUGAGUAACUUUUAGAAGACUUGUCAAUUCGGCCCUUUUAGUUUUUAAUGUUUACCAUAUUUUGGUAGGGAUGAAGGAGCAAGGAAAAUACAGAGCUGUUUACAAAAAAUUAUUAUCGAAUUGGAUGAGAGUAUACGGGACCGGACAGUAAAUUUUGGAUCAAAUAUCAAGCUGGAUACCCGCUAGAAGCUUUUGCAAGAGAAAAGGUAUUGAACAGUAUACGACGUCGGAUUAAAGGAGCAAAGCUGGAUAAUCGCACCAGAUACUCGUUAGAGAAUUUUUUGAAGAAGAGUCUGUAAUAGUAUACAACGCCGAAUAGUGAAAUUCGCUUCAGAUACUAAGUCAGAUACUUGAGCAGAAAAAAUCUGCAACUUGCAGAACUUUUCAUCCUUCUUUCUUGCAGCAUCAAUGACAAUUUGGCAGCUACUUUUUGGACCCAAGACAUCAACUUUUGUCAACUUUAUAUCAUUCCAUCUCAACUUUUUGACUCUUCAAGACAAAGAGGAUUCUUAUGGAAGAUUGGAAGGGACAUGAAGAAUAUAAAUAGAGAAGCCUUUAGUUUUAGAAGGAGCUUUUGAGUUUUUAGUCUUAGUUAGUUUUAAAGGAAGAAAGAGCCUUGGAGCAUAGAAGAACGACAAAAGGAUUGUGCCUUGCCCUUUGAGGCAAGACACAAAUCCUCAACAAUUGUAGCUCUCCUCUUAUUCAUUUCUUAUUUUAGUGUAGGAUAUUGUAGUGUGUAUUCAUCCACUAUUGUAUUGACUCAACAAGGAGGCCGAUGGAGAUGAAGAUGGAAAGGCUCAAGAAACUCUAGUGACAAAGGUUUUUCUUCUCUCCACCUCUUUAUCUUGUAUUGGAUUCUAAAUUUUGUUAAUGCAAGUUUUGGAUAUUAUGUUUGUAAUGUUAUUUUAAAGUUUAUACCUUAAGUAUUUGGGUAAUGCCAUUUUUGCUGUUUGAACAUUUGGUGUGAUAGGGAUUUUAGUGAUUGAAUUAAUAUCUUAUUAUUUUUGAGUAACAGUUUUCGACAGUUAUGCAGAGCUGUUCUAAUGGCUACUUCUCUACCUUCUUCUGUUAGAUUCUCUUCAUCUUCUAUAUAUAUGUAAAUAUUGGUAUCCGCUAAAAAAAAUUUCUACAAUAGAUUAAAUGCAAAGCGGUUUGUUAUAAAAACCUAUAAAUUUUAGCAACCGCAAAGCAUAUAAUCUACAGCUGAAACUUAUGAAACUAGGCACAAAGGAGCUAUACUCUACCAUAGAAUGCUACCCUACAUGACGGAAUGGAACUUAAGGUAUGUGUUUUAGGUUUCUUUUUCUACUAACUUUUCUUUUCCUGCCAAUUGAAUAACUUGGAAAUGAAGUACUAGACUGAUCUUAAUAUCCUUUAUUGAUAUAUGAGUUCCUGAGAAAAUCUUUUAGAAAAUUCGGUAAAAUCCUUGUCGCUUACCAUCUUAAUAUCACGGUGCAUGAUGAACGAUUGCUUCAUUGCUUCUAGAUUUAGUUCAUCUUCAUGAACUACAUUUGCAGUUCAUUCAUAAUUCCAUUUUAAAACAUCAACUCAAAUGAUUCAUUAAACAAUGAUGCCACAGUUUCUGCACAAUUUUACUUAUAUUUCUUAUUCAAGUGGAGAUAUAUUACAAAUCAUCAAACAAUAUUUAUAAAACUAUCUCCAUACCAUAAUUAUUCACUACCUUCAAUUACAGGCACCCAACUCCUACACAUUGCACGGGCUCUCUCCUCCUAGUAAUAACUAUAAUUCAAACUCGUUAUAGAUUUUAGGCUCAAAUCCCCUAUUUUCCCUCCGAUUAUCUUAAAUUUCACCCCCUCCUUUACUGAAAAAAAAAAAAGACUAUACCAGUUAUAUAACUAAUGGCCAAUUUAACUGAGGGUUAAAUGCAAUAAAUCCUCCAGACUUGUACCCCCGACACCUAAGGAAAUAAAUACUUUAUCCCUUUGAUUUAAGGUCAAUUUAAAGGUUUAAUAGAAUGUGAAAUCCGUGAACUUUCUUCAACCUAAUAACUAAUGUAUCCCUUGACUAAAAAGCAAUUGGCUGUUAUACGUAAUACCAAAAUUAAGUUUUACAGUAAGAUUUUAUUCAUAAAGACACAGCUACCAUUAAAAAUACUUUGUAAGUGUAUAUAUUGCAAUAAUAAGUUGUCUCAUUCUUCCUUGAAAAUUUAAUUCUUUUGUUAAACAAACUCAUCAUAAAACAUUGGUUUUCUCUAAUGAAAGUUAACUUCUAUUAUUAAAUUUUUUUACAACCAUAUUUGUCUUAAUAUCUUUUUAAAAUUAUUAAGUAUCAACCAAUUUUUUAUAGGUAAUAACCUUAAGAUCUUUGACCUCAAAAAAAAUAAAUGAGCUAUCUAAAAGAAUUAGUAGAUUUGGUGUCAAAAAAUAUUUUUUGUCUUGAGCAAUGUUUCAAAAUAUUUUCCUUUUGCAAGCACUUUGUUGAGAUUUGUAUUUCAAAAAAUGAUGAUUAUAUUGAUUUGUUUGUAUCAAAAGGACACAGUUACGUUCUUAUCAUACUUUCAAAACACAUAGUAGUUUUAGGUACUUAACUCAUAUUAUAAUAUUAAAUUACUUUGACACCUAAUUUGCAUUUCAACAUCAAUAAAAGAGUAGUAAUGUCAUUAUAUUCUUUAGGGAUAAUUUCAGAAACCUCCCCUGAGGUUUCUGACAUUUACACUUACCUCCCCUGUGGUUUAAACAAUUACACUGACCUCCCCUGAUGUUACUAAUUCUUUAUAAAUUUAGUCCAAAUAAUUAAAAUAUUAUUUAAGAGAGUGAAAUUAGAAUUUUGUACCUGAUUGAUGCUUUGUGUUAGUCCAAUGAAUGAUAAAGUAUUAUAAAUUAAUUAACAAUUAAUAAACGUUAAGGAGCGUAGUUUAUAAACAAAUACGUAUUACAUAUUUAAAGUAUCAACUCUUUACGGGUAUUUUACUUUCAAAUAUUUACUUUAUUACAAAUAUUUAUUCUCAAAUACAGAUUUGUAUUUACUCUCAAAUAUUUAAUUUUUGUUAAACACAAAACCUACUAGUUUUUCUUCCGUAGAAAUAUUAAUAUAACACUUUUCAAUUUUAGUUAUAAAUAUUUAUGUAUUUAACAUAAAUUAAAUGAUUCAGGAUAAAAUAUCCAUAAAGAGCCAAUACUUUACUCAUGUAAUGGAGAAAACCAUAAAAAAUUAAUAUUUUAUGAGGCCAUUUAUUUUUUAAAAAAUAUUUAAUUUAUAUUAAAGGGAUAAUUUCAGAAACCUCCCCUGAGGUUUCUGACAUUUACACCUACCUCCCCUGUGGUUUGAACAAUUACACUGACCUCCCCUGAGAUUACUAAUCCUUUACAAAUUCAGUCCAAAUGAUUAAAAUAUUAUUUUAGAGAGUGAAAUUAGAAUUUUGUACCUGAUUUGUCCUUUGUGUCACAUGUCCAAUGAAUGACAAAGUAUUACAAAUUAAUUAACAAUUAAUAAACUUUAACGAGCAUAAUUUAUUGGUAAAUACGUAUUGCCUAUUUAAAGUACCAGCUCUUUACAUGUAUUUUACUGUCAAAUAUUUACUUUAUCACAAAUAUUUAUUCUCAAAUACAGAUUUGUAUUUACUUUCAAAUAUUUAAUUUUUGUUAAAUACAAAACCUACCAGUUUUUCUUCCGCAGAAAUAUUAAUAUAACAUUUUUUCAAUUUUAGUCACAAAUAUUUAUGUAUUUAACAUAAAUUAAAUGAUUCAGAAUAAAAUACUCAUAAAGAGCUAAUACUUUACUCGUGUAAUGGAUGAAAGCCAUAAAAAAUUAACAUUUUAUAGGCCAUUUCUUUUUUUUAAAAUUUUAAUUUAUAUUAAAUAGAUAACCUAUCGAUUUUCUUUUUGCAAGAAUAUUAUUGUAACACCUUUUAAUUUUUAAUUACAAAUAUUGAUAUAUUUAUUAUAAAUUAAAUAUUUAAAAAUAAAAUACCUGUAAAGAGCUGGUACUUUAAAUAAGUUAUGCGUAUUUGCCUAUAAACUACACUCCUUACUUAAAUCAAUAAACUACACUCCUUAACUUAAAUCAAUAAACUAUAUUCCUUACUUUAAAUAGUGUAAUUUAUAGGCAAAUACGCAUAUCCUAUUUAAAGUAUCGGCUCUUUACAGAUAUUUUAUUUUCAAAUAUUUAAUUUAUGAUAAAUAUAUUAACAUUUGUAAUUAAAAAUUAAAAAGUGUUACAGUAAUAUUCUUGCAAAAAAAAUUAGUAGGUUAUCUAUUUAAUAUAGGGAUAAUUUCAGAAACCUCCCCUGAGGUUUCUGACAUUUACACUUACCUUCCCUGUGGUUUAAACAAUUACACUGACCUCCCCUGAGGUUACUAAUUCUUUACAAAUUCAGUCCAAAUAAUUAAAAUAUUAUUUUAGAGAGUGAAAUUAGAAUUUUGUACCUGAUUUAUGCUUUGUGUUAGUCCAAUGAAUGAUAAAGUAUUAUAAAUUAAUUAACAAUUAAUAAACUUUAAGGAGCGUAGUUUAUAGACAAAUACGUAUUACAUAUUUAAAGUAUCAACUCUUUACGGGUAUUUUACUUUCAAAUAUUUACUUUAUUACAAAUAUUUAUUCUCAAAUACAGAUUUGUAUUUACUCUCAAAUAUUUAAUUUUUGUUAAACACAAAACCUACCAGUUUUUCUUCCGUAGAAAUAUUAAUAUAACACUUUUUCAAUUUUAGUUAUAAAUAUUUAUGUAUUUAACAUAAAUUAAAUGAUUCAGGAUAAAAUAUCCAUAAAGAGCCAAUACUUUACUCAUGUAAUGGAGAAAACCAUAAAAAAUUAAUAUUUUAUGAGGCCAUUUAUUUUUUAAAAAAUAUUUAAUUUAUAUUAAAUAGAUAACCUACUAAUUUUUUUUGCAAGAAUAUUACUGUAACACUUUUUAAUUUUUAAUUACAAAUGUUAAUAUAUUUAUCAUAAAUUAAAUAUUUGAAAAUAAAAUAUCUGUAAAGAGCCGAUACUUUAAAUAGGAUAUGCGUAUUUGCCUAUAAAUUACACUAUUUAAAGUAAGGAAUAUAGUUUAUUGAUUUAAGUUAAGGAGUGUAGUUUAUUGAUUUAAGUAAGGAGUGUAGUUUAUAGGCAAAUACGCAUAACUUAUUUAAAUUACCAGCUCUUUACAGGUAUUUUAUUUUUAAAUAUUUAAUUUAUAAUAAAUAUAUCAAUAUUUGUAAUUAAAAAUUAAAAGGUGUUACAAUAAUAUUCUUGCAAAAAGAAAAUCGAUAGGUUAUCUAUUUAAUAUAAAUUAAAAUUUAAAAAAAAAAGAAAUGGCCUAUAAAAUGUUAAUUUUUUAUGGCUUUCAUCCAUUACACGAGUAAAGUAUUAGCUCUUUAUGAGUAUUUUAUUCUGAAUCAUUUAAUUUACGUUAAAUACAUAAAUAUUUGUGACUAAAAUUGAAAAAAUGUUAUAUUAAUAUUUCUGCGGAAGAAAAACUGGUAGGUUUUGUAUUUAACAAAAAUUAAAUAUUUAAAAGUAAAUACAAAUCUGUAUUUGAGAAUAAAUAUUUGUGAUAAAGUAAAUAUUUGACAGUAAAAUACAUGUAAAGAGCUUGUUGACAGGUGCCGAACCUGUGCAAUAAUAAAUACCUGCUCAAAUAAAAUGCAAAUUCUGUAUAUAGCGGUAAGCAGGGUCGAAUCCACAGGGACUGGGGAUAAUUUAAUUUCUUCUCAAGUUCCAGAUAUGGGGGGUUUUUGAAAAUGAGAGUAACUAAAUUACUUGGAAUAAAUUAAAAUAAAAUAAAAUAACUACAACUCAAAUAACUAAUUAUCACAAUAAAAAUAAUAAUGGACGAACUCUAGCCAAGAGACAACUUCGGAGAUGGUUCACUUAAUUCGAUCACAGAUGCAAGGGUUAUUCCAGUUAUUAUCUGAUAAAUUAGUUAUAGUUGUCAUACACGCGAUAAACAACCAACUCUUCCUCACUUUGUCGAUAGCCAAGGUACGACCGUUGACUAUUUCUCUAAUCAGGAAACAACCCUAGGUACGACCAUAGAAGUUCAAUUCCCUAAUUGCAUGAAUAAUUAGAAGAGUCUAAUUCUAACCAAUCAACACGCUACGAGGGUCUCUUUAAGUUAGCCUGUCUAUCUCCCUGACACAAAUCCAAUGAUGCCAGUCGCCACCAGUUUAGAAUAAUUAAACAAUUACGGAUUUAACUACCCUAAUUGGCUUCAGGUUAUUGAAUUAAUCUAGAAUCCGGGCCCUGGAUAAUCGAAUAAUAAAACAACCAUAUGAACAUAAAACAGAAGAUAGAUAAAUACCGGUGAAUAAUGGAAAUAAAUAAAAACUAAUUCGAUCUCACAAAUUUAGUAGAACCAACUCCUCCGUUGUUCCUCGACUAGAACAAAUGAAUUAGUUCAUUUGCAUGGGUAAUUCCGGCCAUUGUCACCGAAGUUCAAUAAGAAAAAAAACUAAAAAAGUAAGAACCCCCAAAAAACUCCCAAUUCCCCAAAGAUAAAGCCGCGGCCCAAGGAAAAGAAUUGUCUCCUAAUCUAAAACAAAUUGCCUCACUUCCCUCCGUGGUCCCCACGAAAUUGAAGGUAAAAGGAGUACAAGAGCUGCGGAGUACAAGAGUUGCGGCUCUGCCAAAUUUCCUCUCCUUUGUGUUUCCUCUUGCUAGUAAGAGUCCUAGUCAGCAACCCUUCUAAUCAGCCAAAAGAAAUUCAAUCCGUCUGUAGCUUCAUGUAGGCCAGUUUUAUGAGGCUUUUUUUGGACCCUUUUACGUGUGGAGCAAUUCCCUCCAACAGGUCCCCCAUUUUAGCACUUUUUAGUUUUCCUUCCUGUAGAUAGGUCCAAAUACCAAAUAUAAGUAAAUAUUACUAAUUUAAAACAUUAUUUGGCAAGGAUAAAGGGGAAAAUUAAUAAUAAAAUUACUAACAAUUAACACCCUAUCAAUUUCCCCCACACCUAAAUCAUGCUUGCCCUCAAGCAUGAGAGCAUCAAUUGAACACCAAAAUUUUGACAAUGGCUAUCGCUCUAACUACCGUAUUGCCAAGAUACCCAGAAAAACAUAUAUCACGCAUCGCAGUUAAGAUCCAAGAAAAACCACUCCGGUUAGCUUCUCAACCACCAACUCCUCCAAUUUAAAGCAAACUAAUCUAAGAAAAAGGAAUGGUUGCUCACAUUUAUCAGCAAAUGGUCCAACUAUUAACCAAAAUCUCGACAUUAAGAUCACAAACCGGCAAACUGACUUAUUCACAUACUAACACAAUCUUUAUUUUAUUUUAUUUUAUUUUUUUAUUUUAUUUUUUUUUGAGUAACAAAAGACUUAGUCUAUAGCCCUUAGAGUCUUUUGACGCGAACUCCAACAUUUGACAGAUGGAGGAGCCCGGUUACUUAGCUCCAAUCGCUACGGGACCACGCACUCAUAACAACUACUACCUUUUGACGCGAAAAUCGACACUUUAGAUGAAGAUUCCCGGUUACUCAGUAGUAAUCACUAGCGGAGUACAGUCAACUCUUAUUUAUAACCGUAUAGCACAAUAACUAAAAAUAACACAAAAAUAACAGCAGCCAGCCUCAAAUUUCCAAACAUGGAGAACUAAAAUUAAUAAAUGGACCAAUUCACAAGAAAAAUGCCAACAAUCAUUCCCUAUGCCUAGAAAAGUUAACCAAAAAUUGGAAAAGUUAAGCAAUUACUGAUAUUCACCAAAGCGAUGUCCCUGAACUUAACCAUAUUAACUUCAUACCCUUUUAUUAAUAAAACUUGGCAAUAGCAGAAUUAGAGGCAACAAUCCAGCAUCAAAACUUGGUAGUCAUAGAAGAGCUGACCACUAAAAAGAAAGAAAAGGAAAUAAACGAAAAAUAGAACAAAUAACAACGAAAAUAAAGGAAAAGAAAAAAAAACUAAAAGCUGAACACCAGAAAUACCAGCUGUACCUCUCCUCCCCACACCUAAAUCCGACAUUGUCCUCAAUGGAGAUCAUAAAGUAAAGAAAGCGAAUAGGACAACUACACUUCCCUGAAUACGUGGUGGAAGGUCUCAAGCGGCUAUGAAAUAGGUGGGAACGGUGGAGUGAAAAUGGUGCUACGGUAGUGCGCGGCAGUGAAAGAUUGUAGAGGGAAGGAGAGCUCCGACGUGCGUCUUGAUCCAGGCGAACUAGAGUGCAACAGAGAACAUCAAACCAGCAAAUUUCCAGACAAUGCAGCAGUUUCAAUCAAUGGCUGAGGAUGUCCAACAAUGUGCUUGAACGAAGUCAAUUCCAACGAAUAUGGCGAUCAAACAGACUAGAAGCGGUAAUAGAGUCUAAAUAAAUCAACAAAUCUCAACAAAUGAACCCAAUUCUACCCAAAAUCGCAACAAAUGUCCCCUAAAAUUCAGCAAGUCCAGUAAUAGCAUGUUAGAAUUUAAGCAAUAACAACUUAGUCACAAGCUCUAAGCUUUCAAUCAAGCAGCCAACCAAGGAGAAUGAACAAAUGCAGUCAAAAUACCCCAACCCGUACCACUGGUGCCUCGCACAGAUAAUGAAGCAACAAAAAGGACCACCCCAAUCAAGAAAAUGGAAACUUCAGGCACCUAAGGACUAGGCGAAAGUCUCAACAAAGAAGUUAUGACAAACAAUAAGCAAUGGUGGUCCGAAUAUUAGUCAAUGCAAAAAUAAUGCAACUCAAAAUCUCUGCAAGUGCUCCAAUGAGCUUAGCAAUGGAAAUCACAAAACCGAAAACUCCCCAAACAAGGUACUUAGAGUCAACCAAUGGCAAUACUAAUUCAACAACCCAACCCAGAAAAUUACUCAACUGAGGGUGCAAUAGGGGUCUCCAGCAGCCAAAACCCCAAAUAAUGCCCAACAAUUCGAUCAAUACCAGAAAAUCACCCCAAACAAUGUAACAGUUAAACUCCACGGGCAAGGAACGUCCAACCAAUUUCACUCGAACAAACUAGGAGCAGUGUGAGUGACUAAACAAAGCAACAAAUUUCAGCAAUUGGACAUAAAUCCACCCAAAAUUUCAACAACUGCCUCCAAUUGGACAGUCAAGUACCCAACUCAAACGAUCAAAACUUAGCAAUUGGGCCAAGCAACAGGCAAUGGCAACAACCAAUGGUUAGAAUUCGAGAACAGUUCAGGCACCAAAACUCAAGAAUCAAAUAGGCAGAAGCACCAACAAAUAGGUUGAUGUGGCUAUGGAUCGCAGAAGGAUUUGUUCAACUGCAAAAAGAUGAUAAAGGAAGCUCAGAGGAUGUCGCUGGGAGCUACUUGAAUGAUCUAAUUGCCAGAAACCUUGUGACAGAUUGCAAAAGGGUAUCCUCCGAUGGAGUGAAAGCAAGCUGCAUUCAUGAUCUAUUGCAUGAUUUUGCUCUGGCAAAAGUUAAAGAAGAGUGCUUUUUGCAGCUGCAAACAUGUGUUCAUUCUGAUCAUUUGUCUUCUCAUGCCCAGACAUUGUACGUACGAGCCAUACUGUCUUUGCAUCAAAGUCUUUUGGCCCGCAUCUUCACUCUCUAGUUUCUUCUGACUUUUCAUGUUCUUGCCCAUUUGAGAGCUUCAAACUUCUCAGGGUGCUGGAUAUUUUGCGCAUCAACGUUGAAUUCACUCCUCUCAUAUGUCAGCUAGUUUAUUUAAGAUUCUUAACUGUUUGCACUUCCUCAACAAAGAUGCCCUGGGAAAUAAGCAACCUCCAAAACCUGGAAACUUUACUAGUGAGAUCAUGUCGUGGUAUGCAAUUGCCCAACACUAUUUGGAAACUGGUGAGAUUGAGGCAUUUGAGGAUAGAUUGGCUUUACUAUUUGCCAUGGUAUAAUCAAGAAUUCAUGGAGAAGGCCUUCAAGUUUAAUAGCUUACAAACUCUUUCAACGCCACGUCUGUUUUUCGAUGACCAUAAAGAUAUUGAGAAGACCUUGGGAGCCUUACCAAUCCUUUGAAAGCUGAGUCGCAUAUUUCUGGAUUCACAGGAUUAUUCUUCCAAAUGCAACUUUUUGCCUGUUUUGGACUUCCUCACUCAACUUGAGUCGCUCAAUGUGGUUUACCACGGUCAGUUGCUUCAUUAUCCUUUUGAAUUCAACUUUCCACAAAAUAUUAAGAAGUUGAAUCUAUCAGAAUUUCAGUUGCCAUGGAGUGCCAUUUCAAGCAUUGGGAAACUGCCCAAUCUUGAGGUUCUUAAAUCAUCAGAUGCUUCCUUUAAAGGGAAAACAUGGAAAAUGAAAGAAGGGGAAUUCCUUAAAACUCAAAUUCUUGAAGUUGGAGUCUUUGGACGUUGCACACUGGAAUACCUGCCUUGAGACUCUAGUUGUGAAGAACUGCCACCAACUUGUUGAGAUCCCUCCUUGUUUAGGGGGCGUACUCACACUGCAGAGGAUUGAGUUGCAAAAUUGCAGUACUUACUGCUUGGGAUUGAGCCCAGAGAGUGAAAGAACAGGAGGAAAUGGGAAAUGACCCGAUUGUCGUCAUCAGUAGACUAGGUUAUGUAUAUUAUCAUAAUAUCAGCCUAGAAAAUUAUCAAAUUCAUCAUAGUAGUUCAUGUGUUAUAAUGUAGAUUGCAGAAAUUGUCUCCUAUUUCUCCUAAUGAAUUCUUCUUUCAAUUGGGUGUUCCAUUUUAUUCUUUUGUCCACUUUCUUCACUUUAUAAGCAUGAUCCAUUCAAUUAUAUCUCACAACAGAUUGAAUAUUCCUAUCUGGUGCUAAAAAUGGAAUAGGUGGAUUUGUUAUACCAUUCAACCAUUCGAAUAAAAAAAAAAAAAAAUCUGAUGAACACUUGAAGCAUACCAGUAACAUCAAUCUGGAUGAUCAGUUGUGUCUCAUAAUUGGCUGAUUUCACUCAUUUUCCAAUUAAAGCAUUUCAUUCAAAAAUUUAACUAUGCAAUUGAGAAGUGCAAAUUUUUUUUUUUUUUUUUUUUAUAAUAGAAGUGCAAAUUUUUAGAUUAGACGACUUAUAAGUUGUCCUGUGGAUGGACAUCGAAAUGAACGAACUGGCUCCCUUGUAGCGAUCCCUAAUUCUCUACUCAACUGCUGGACGCCCCCAAGCAAUCCGCUUUGGUUGGUGGACUUGGUGCAUCAAGUCCUUCGCGAUACACCAUUACUCUUUAAAUUUGAUAGAUUGGAAAUAUCAGAUGCUUCUUAUUUCCUCAUCUACUAUAGUUUUGGAUUAAAUUUGAUGCAUUGAUAGUAUAGUGAUUUUUUUAUAUUAAUAGCGACAGAUGUAUGCCACAUUAUGUGUGAUUUGAAUUUUUAAAUUUGAAUUUAUGCUAUAUAACAUUGAUCUAAACUUGCUACUAUUUAAACUAUAUAUAUAUAUAUAUAUAUAUAUAUAUAUAUAUAUAUAUAGAUUGACAAUGUAUGAAAAACUUACUCGUAUGUUUCUCAACUACGGGUCAAAGUUUAGAUGAGCAAAAGUGCAAGAUUAUUAUAAAUGAUGGAUUUAAAUAAUUAGGGACUCACAACAGUCACAAGAGAUUGAAAUUGAGUUUUUUGGAUCAUGGGCCUCACAUUUCAGACCAUUUUAUCGGAGGGGCUGUAAAUAAGUAGAGAUCCAAUGUAAAUAAGUUUAGGUAAGAUAUGAAUGACUGAGAUUAUGAUGUAAAAAAAAAAUUAAAAAAUAAUUAUUUUGCUCCCAACUAAUUUGAAAUAAAACUUGUGAGAGCAGUGAUCCUGAAUUUUUCAAUCAUACUAUGAGGUUAGUAGCAUUUACGUCUCAAAAGGCACCCCUAAAGUACCCCAACAUCGAUAUAGUAAGAUUCUCUUCGAAUAUUGUAUAGUGUGACGAGUCAUUGUAUAUUAUACUAUAGAUUUUAUUUUUCAUUAGUUUUUUCCUUUCAAAUUGUUUAAUAAGUUGAAAAAAAAAAAAGUUGAUUAUGCAGAAUAGCCCAUAGAUUCUUUAAAGUAAUUGAAGCCCGUUCCAAAUAUUGAAAAUGAAAUGUAUUGGCAUUUUCAUAAUCAACUUAAAGGAAGAAAAUGUAGAGUUAACGGAGUAAGCCUUAACAUAUUGGAUACUGCUAUUAUUUCAUGCAUUAUUUGCAACUGGAACCUAAAUCUAAAGCAUUUAAUUUUGGCUAUGGUACCAUUAGACUAAAGCCUUAUUAUUUUACUUUGUUUGGACACUAGAUUAUUUGUCAAAUUUUAUUUGCUUGUAUCAUCGACACAUUUUUUAAUCAUCUUUUUAUCUCACAUACAGCACAUAAAAAAAAAUUCUAUAGUAUUUUGUUCAAAAAAUUAUCCGAAAUAUUCUACUAUCCAGAGUUUUCGGGCAAACUUCAAAUUUGAAAAUUUUCUACUAAUAAUUAUUGAUAUCAAGCUGUUCUGAAUAUUUUCUCCUUUUAAGUAAUUAAAUGCUUCAAUAAUUAUUUUGGAUUUGGAUUUAGAUUCUGAUUUUACGUCAUAACCACUAAUCCUUAUUGGAUUUUUUCUUUUCUGGAGUAGGUAAAACUUUUCAUUCCAUGAUAAACAAAGCUUCUGUGUUGAGUGGCUAAAUCAUGUGCUAACGAAACAGCCCCUAUAUCCAUAAGGGCUAACCUAAAUCUAAUAUGGACUUGUUAAUGAGAUAUCUAAACCACAUGUAAGUUACUAUCUAAAUACACGCUUAUAUUUAUUGCAGUCCCAUAUAACCAAAAUGAAACCUCAAGGAAGAAGCUCAUGCACAUUCAAGACUCCCCGAUGUUCCAAUCCCAAUUUCAUCCUUCCCUUUUCCCCUUCUGCCUCGUAAGCCAUUGAGUCUAUCUUUGACUCCCAAAAAAAAGAACAAAAAAAAUCCUACUCUAAGAUCUUCAAAAGCCCAAAGACAAAAAAGCACCAAAUAACAAAAGGAAGAAAAAAAUUUAACAAAACACCUGAGUUACUUUCAUUUGAAUUCAUACACCAAAAAUAACACAUUCACAUUCCAAACGUUUUCUUAACAGUAAUCCCACAAGAUUCAUUAGUAAAAGAGAGGAAAAAGAAGUAAAGGACUGGUGCAGAAAGCUAACAUAAAGUACUUAGAUUGAUGAAGAAAAAAACAAAAACAAGAGUUUUGAGGAAAUUAGUUUUACACUUUUUGAGAGCCAAAAGAGUAAUUACUGAUAAACACUAGAGUCAGCUUACUGGUCAGGAGAGAGCUCUUAGAGUUAUUCUCGCUAUCAAUUUCAGGAUCAAGGCCUAACAAUUGAAUAUAAGGAGAGACGGAAGGUAUAAAAAACAAAAAGUAAUUACCGAUAUGAAAAACUCAUGACACAAUAUAUAAAAUUGAAACUUUUUUCCAUUGUGACACAGUAUAUAAAAUUGAAACUUUUUUUUUUCGGGAAAAUGGAAGGCCUAAAGACCCAUUGAAAAAGUAACUAGUUGGGAUAUGGGACUGCCAAUAUACCGUGGCUUAAAUGCGCAAGUGGCAUCCCUACCCCCUCCAAACCCACCAAUAUCAAAAACCUGAAAUGACAUCAAGAGCAAAAUACCCUUAAAUCUAAGUCUAGGGUAAUUAAACAUACCCAAGUUCAAGUUCAACCCUAAUCCCCUUCAGUCAAAACUUCCAACUGGCUUGUCCGCAUGUGCCCCAAAUUUCCCUUAUUAUUUUAGCGUAAGACAGGAUAAGGUAUAGAUCAAUUCAGUUGCGUCAGGAAUCAUGCACCAUUGUUACUGCCUUCCAGCAAUAAAGUGCGUGGCAUAUGCUACCAUUUCCUCGGAACCUUCAUCAUGUUCCCUCCCCCAAAUAAAUAUUACAUAGGAUUUAGGACUCUUUCUACUGUCUCUUUGGGAGGCUCAUUAAAAUAGUAGUAAUUGCUACCACAAUUUACUAGACGUACGGAAGUACCAAUUGAGUAAAAACAGAGAAUCAACUCUCACUACUAUUUUUAAAGACUUUAGUGUCCACAAUUUGCAUAAUUCUCUAAAUUUCUUUUCUUCAUUUAGUUUACUGAUACUAAGUCUUUGCAUUCAAAAACAGUUAUCAAAAUUUAUCGAUUUUUUAAUGGAUUUGAACAGUGCGUUACAAGAUAGUCAUGAAUUAAUAUUAAUAUUAAUAGCUUAAGAUGCGAAUUAGGAGAGAGUUAGGUUAGGUGUUAAGACGAGAAGGAUUGUAAGUAGGAAAUUCUGAAUUUAAAACCUUCAACAUAUCAAAAAAAUAAUUUAAAAAAAAGAUCUUAGGGUGCAAUUUGAUAAUCUAUAAUAGUUCAAGGGUGCAAAUUUGCAAUUACCAGAAAAUACUGCAUCUCACCAGCCGAGCGGCUGAGCCUGUAAUGUGCAAGAAGAAAAAACUUUACUAUAGCAACUGAUUAGAGUGAUAAGAGAAAAUAAAAAAUGAUUAAACCAAUAGAGAGAGAGAGAGAAUGAAAAUAGUUAACAAAGAGGGAGAUAAGAGUAAUAUACAGUGUUUGAAAUCUGGUCAAACAUGUCAGUUUCGUGGGUUGAACUAGAGUCCCACCUUAAUACUGGUUUGAUUAUAUAUUAAGCUUAGAACAAAAAAAGCAAUUAAAUCCAGUCAAAGACCGGUUAAUCUAGUCAAAACUGGUAAAUUCCAAAAGAUUGAACCGUUUGGCCACUAAAUUUUCUCUCUUUCUGACAAUUUUGCACUAAUCAGAUUUUGACAAUUUUCUCUCUUUUUUUUUAAUUCAAAAAAAAAAAGAAAAGGUUGUUCCCUGACCCUAACCAUUGAACUAGUUAAACCAUGACCUAAAAGCUUAUUCAAUUCACUUUAGGAUUUAGGACUCUUUCUACUAUCUCUUUUGGAGAAGCAUUAAAAUAGUAGUUGCGAGCGCAAUUUACUAGACGUAUGGAAGUACUAAAAUAGAGAAUCAAUUCUCACUAUUUUUCAAAGACUUUAGUGUCCCCAAUUUGCAUAAUUUUCUAUAAUUCUUUUCUUCAUUUACUGAUACUAAAAUCUUUUUACCCAAAGAUAACUAUCAAAAUUUGUCGAUUUUUUAAUUGAUUUGAACACUGAGUUACUAAUUGAUGGCAUGAUUUAGCAAGGUUUCACAUAACUCAUCUAUAAUUUCAAAAGUUAUAUAUAACCCCUUCAUAAUUUGGAUUAAAGUAUCAAAGUGAUGUAAAUGAUUACUUGUAACAUAACUCAUAAAAAUGUCGAAAUUACCCUUGUUAAAAAACUAAAAUAACUAAAAUGAUCAAAAUAUAUAUAUAUAAUAUGCAUAACACUCUAACCCCAUAUGGUUUUAUGUUUUACCACAUAACUCCCUUAUAAUUUUUAAAAUAUAUACAUAAUCCCCCGUGGUUAAUAAAUAAUUUUCAACUUUAUAUAGAGGUACUUUUGACAUUUUAGUUGCUUCCGUUAUGAAAUGCAAAUUUCAUCAUUUUGAUAUUUUAAUUCAAACUAUAAAGAGAUUAUAUAUAUCUUUUAAAACUAUACGGGAGUAAUGUGAAAAUCACUAAAUCAUAUGGGGAUAAAGUGUAUUUUGCCCUAAUAUUAAUAGCUUAGAGGAGCAAAUUGAUAAUCUAUAAUAGUUCAAGGGCGCAAAAUUUCAAUUACCCUAAAAUACUACAUCUCACCAGCAAAGCUGCUGAGCCUGUAAGGCUCAAGAAGAAAAAACUUUAGUAUGGCAACUGAUUAGAGUGACAGAGAGGGAGAAAAUAAAAUACGUGACAAAAAGAGAGAUAAGAGUUAUACACAAUGUUUCAGAACCGGACCGAAUCGGUCGGUUUGAUCACGAACCGGCCAUGACAUCGGUCCGGUCCAGUAUCAAACCCGAAAGCUAGUGGGAAACCGUGUGAACCGUUGAACCGCUGAAAACCCGUGUGAACCAUAAAUCGGCGGUUCUCAAAUUUUGAAACAAUAACCUCAAAUUCAAAACAAUGACAAGAAUAAGGCUGCUAGGAUUUGAGCUCUAGUCUCCAUGACCAUAAUAAGGUACACUUACCACUAAACCACAACCGAAGGACAAGCUUUUGUUGUGUAGAAUUUUACUUAACUUAACCAAAAAACUAAAAUCAGAUUAUAUAAAAAAAACCCUAAAAGACCUAGCAAAGUGUAGACGGCACAUCAUUUCAGUUUCCUCGGCUUCACUUCCUCUGUUCCUUGGCUUCUCCAGACUCCAAUUCUCCUCUUGAUUUUUUUUAAAAUUUUUUCUUCAUAAUCCUUCAACAUCCUAAUAUCCACGACAAGAUCAUCAUGCUAUUAUCUUUAGACGAGACUCCAGAGCUUUUUUUUUAGCUUCACCAAUUAGCUUUUUUUUUUAGCUUCACCAAUUGGCUUUUUUUUAGCUUCACCAAUUAGAUUUAUAUUUUUUGUAAUAAACUUUUUAAUUUUUUCAGGUUAAAUUGAUGAAAUUGUGAAGGGGAUGCUGUUGCCUUGUCAUGCCAAUGAUAGAAGUUUGUUAGUCAAAUUGUUUGCCUUGAAUAUGAGCUGAACUUUUUUAUGGACUCUUUUGGAAUUGUGAAAGAAUGUUAACAUUUAUUUUAUUUAUUUUUGUAUUUUUGUUUGUGAUAAUUGAUGAACAUUUGGACUAUAUCUAUUAAUGUUUGUAAUAAAUUUAUGAAAACUUGGAGUGAACUAUGAUAUUUUAGUUAUAUUUAUCAUUUCAAGUUUCAUGUAUAACUUUUAAAAAAUUUAUUAUUAUCUCAACUUAAAUUUAGAUUUAACUUUUAAAUUAUAUUGGUGAAUGUAUUUUAGGGACUUAAGUUAUUAAUAACCAUGUUAGAUUGUACAUUAGCCGUCAAAUUCCAGUGUAGACUAUAGAGUGAAGACCUGUGAAGUAAAAAAAAAAAAAAAAACUGUUGAACCGUUGAACCGGCGGGUUGGACCAUGAACCGCCCCCUCUCCGGUUCACUUACCGGUCCGAGUUCAAAAACAUUGGUUAUACAUGGUGUUUAGAAACCCAGUCAAACCUGUCGGUUUGGUAGGUUGAACCAGGCCCCGACCAUGAUACUGGUUUGAUUGUAUAUUAAACUUACGGAAAAAAAAAAUCAAAUACAGUCAAAGACCGGCUAAUCUAGUCAAAACUAGUAAAUCUCAAAAGAUUCAACAGGUUGGCUACUACAUUUUCUCUCUUUUUUGACAAUUUAGCACUAUUAAGAUUUCUUAAUUCAAAAAAAAAAUUUUUAAAUUAUUCCUUGACCCUGACUAUUGUACUAUAGUUAAACCAUGACCUAAACGCUUAUUCAAUUCACUUACCAAUCCAGGUUUAGAAACAUUGGUUAGCCAUAGCCAAAUUGUUAAAGCAGUACAGUUCAUGCUUCAACAGUUUUCUACUGCAAUUGAUUAGAGUGAACAAAAGGGAGAGAAGAGUUAGAGAUGGCUACGCUUUCCAAGUCUUCCAAUUAUUGUGCCGAUACACUGAGUUUCUUGAAGUGGUUUGAGAACCAUUGGAAAUUAGAAAUUGCAGUGAAGGAUAAAUUCCAAACUCUCAGACUCAAGAUGAUCCUACUUGAAGCCUUCUUCAGCCCCAAAAGAAAGUGGCACACUGAUGACAAGAAUUUGCAAGUCCACCUUUGGCAUAUAAAUCAGGUGCUUCAUCAUGCUACUAAAUACUUCAUUCUGUCCAAAGGGAAAUGUUGGACCCUCCAAGAGAAGUUGUGUGGUAUCAUUUCUGGUGUCAUAAAGAAGCUUGAUGUGGCUAUUCCGCACAUCAGGCAAGUUUAUGCAAUAGUUUCAAAAUCAAGAAGAUCCACUUGUUCCACAGCAAAUGAACUGAUUGAGCUUAUUCAUAUGCUUCUGGAGAAAAUGGAAAAUCUACUCAGCUGGAAGGCUCGGUCAUUUCUCCGUCUAAGUAAAGAAAUGGAAGAGCUUGAAGAGGAUUUGAGGUAUCUACGAAAUUUUCUUCGGGUUACAGAAAUUUGGUGCAAUAAAGAUGAGAUGUUGCAAGAUCUCUUGACACAUGCUGAAGCUGUGGCUUACAGUACAGCAUGUAUCUUGUUCUUGUGUACUGAAGAGAGCAAGAUGGAUGUUGACAUCGUGAACGAGAUGAAGGGUGAAGUUUCUUGUGUGGUACAGAAGAUUAAACCUUUUCAGCCAAGUGUGAGAGAGAUUUAUAUCAAAGCCCUGAAAGCUUUAGAGUCAUCGCCACAAGAUAUCAUUUUGGUGGAUGAAACUGUUCUGCAUUUUCUUUAUAGUCUCCUCGGCCACAUGAUAGAUCUAUCCAAAGUGAAGGCAAGUUUCAGGAGAUCUGUAAUAGAUCAAAUUGAAGCUUUGCAUAAGGAGCUACAGAUCAUGAGAGAUUAUCUGUUCGAUCCAUCAGCUUCGCAGUACAAUCAGAGCAAUGAGAAAGCUAAUAAUGUACUGUUGCACAUCAAAGAUUUGCUCUUUCACGCAGCAUAUGCUAUUUAUACGUCUUAUGACAGUGAUAUAACUAAAGAAAUGGCUGAGGUACUGAAUCUGACCGUUGCUGAUUUGUUCCAAGAGAUCGAGGAUAUCAAGCAAGAGGCCAGGGAUGUAUACGAUGAAAUAAUUGCCAAAUCACUAAGGUCAAAUUUCCCCAGAACCAAUGAAUUGGGCUUCAUGGAGUUUGUGAUCCAGAAUCUGCAUGAGCUGCUAAGUUCAUCAAAAGCUGGUUCAUGAGUUCUUCAGCUGCAGCAUCAAAUGGAGACAGUUCUUGGAAGUAUAUUAUCCCUCAGAGAAGAUGUCUUUGAAAUUAAAGCAUUGUUUCGAGAGCAGAAAGAACAGAGAGACCUUUGGCUGCAGUUCAUAAACAUUGUAUACCAUACCGAAUUUGUCAUUGAUUCAUUUACUGCGAGAAGUGGAUAUCUUUGGGAUUGGAAAUUGGGGCUGUUUGAUAUCAUGGAACAGAUUCAUAUGACCAGGAGAGAGAUCAAUGCUAUUAAAAUUACGAGGACAACUGACACUACAGUCCUCAAAAAUCUUGGUUGUGUAUCUUCUCUGGAAAAUUCAGGAAAUUCUGGUGCACUGCAGGAUCCCAGCUAUGAGGUUGGAAAUGAAACAAAGAAGCCCAUUGGUCACGUGGACCUUUUUGUUGAUGCAGAGAAAAAGAUAAGAGAGCAACUUACUAAUAAGUGCAAAGACUUGUGCCUACUCUCCAUUGUGGGAAUGCCUGGCAUUGGUAAGACAACACUAGGCAAUUCAAUAUAUGAAAAUCGUUUCGUUCGUUUAUGCUUUCAUGCUCGUGCAAGGUGCCACGUUGGUCAUGCGUGUCAAAAGAGAAGAUUGUUGCUUGAUAUUCUACAGCAAGUUUGUGGGGAAACUGACCAAGUAUGUACAAGGAAUGAUGAUGAUUUAGCUGAAAAGUUGUAUCAAAGUCUCAAGGGCAAAAAGUACUUCAUCUUCUUGGAUGAUCUGUGGGAUCUUAGGCAAUGGAAUGAUAUGAGAGCCUCUUUCCCAAAUGAUAAGAAAGGUAGUAGAAUUAUGUUCACAAGCAGAUUUCAGAAUAUUGCUCUGGAAACAGGAAUGAAUAGCGUGACUUAUCCUCUUACUCCAGUAUCAGAUUCUAGGACCUGGGAGUUACUGCAAAUCAAGCUGUUUGGAAAAGAAAGUUGCCCUCCAGAACUUGUCAAAGUUGGACAGAAAAUUGCAGCCGAAUGCAAAGGCCUAACUCUUGCAGCAGAUCUGAUAGCUGGAUUACUGAGAACGAUGGCAAGCAAAAAAGAAUGCUGGGCACAAGUUGCAAAUAGUCUAAAUACACACCUUCUUGAGGAUCAAGACGGACGGUGUAUGCAAAUACUGGAACUUAGUUACAACCAGUUACCAGACCAUUUGAAACCAUGCUUUCUUUAUUUUGGAGCAUUUCCUGGGAACAGAGAAGUUCCAACCAGUAAGCUGAUGUGGUUAUGGAUUUCAGAAGGAUUUGUUAAAUUGCAAAAUGGUGAUGAAGGAAGCCCAGAGGAUGUAGCUAGGAGUUACUUGAAUGAUCUAAUUGCCAGAAGCCUAGUAAUAGAUUCCAAAAGGGGAUCCUCCAAUGGAGUGAAAGCAAGCUGUGUUCAUGAUCUAAUGCAUGAUUUUGCUCUGGCAAAAGCUAAAGAAGAGUGUUUUUUCCAGCAGCAAAUAUGUGUUCAUUCCAGACAUGUGUCUUCUCAUGUCCAGACAUUGUAUGAGCCAUACCGUCUGUGCAUCUAUUCAGAAUGGGAAUGCUUCAAAGCAUCAAUGCCUUUUGGCCCACGCCUCCGCUCUCUAGUGUCUUCUGACUUCUCAUCUUCUUGCCCCUUCGAGAGCUUCAAACUUCUCAGGGUGCUGGAUCUUUCAGGCACCAUUGUCGACCUUACUCCUUGCAUAUUCCAGUUGGUUCAUUUAAGAUUCUUAUCUGUUUGCACUUCCUCAACAAGGAUCCCCUGGGAAAUCAGCUACCUCCAAAACCUGGAAACUUUACUACUAAGAUCACGCAAGGGUAUUCAAUUGCCCGACACUGUUUGGAAAUUGGUGAGAUUGAGGCAUUUCAGAAUAGAUUGGCAUUGCUUUUUGCCGCGGUAUAAUCAAGAAUUCAUGGAGAAAACCUUCAAGUUCAAUAGCUUACAAACUCUUUCAACACCAUGUUUAUUUUUCCAUGAAGAUCUUGAGAAGACCAUGAGAGGCCUACCCAACCUUCGAAAGCUGAGUUGCAUAUUUUUAGAUUCAUGGGAUCAUUCUUUCAAUUGCAAUCGGUUUCCUGUUCUGGACUUUCUCACUCAACUUGAAUCGCUCCAUGUGGUUUACGGUGGUCAGGUGGUUCGUCAUCCUUGUGAAUUCAACUUUCCCCACAAUCUUAAGAAGUUGAAGUUAUCAAAGUUUCGUUUGCCAUGGAGUGCAGUAUCAACCAUUGGGAAACUGCCUAAUCUGGAAGUUCUCAAACUAUUGCAUGCCUCCUUUGAGGGCAAAACAUGGGACAUGAAAGAAGAAGAAUUUCUUAAACUCAAGUUCUUGAAGUUGGAGUCGUUGGACAUUGCACAUUGGAAUGCCUCAGAGGAUCACCUCCCUUGCCUUGAGACACUUGUGGUGAAGAAAUGUCAUGCACUUACAGAGAUCCCUCUUUGUUUGGGGGAUAUACCCACACUACAGAGGAUUGAGUUGCAAAAUUGCACCCGCUCUGCUUGGAUUUCAGCCCGUACAGUGAAAGAAAAACAGAAGGAAAUGGGAAAUGACCAGUUUGAGUUCACUUUUAAGUUUGAGGGAUCGUGGAGGGUUCCCUAUGAAGCCUAGUAUACAAUCGUCAUUUACAUUAAUUUGCUUGAUGAUGUACACUGCAGAGAUAAACUCUACUGAUCCUAAUCAAUUCUUCCUUCUAAAAGGUGUUCCAUUUUAUUUUAUUUAUGCAUUUUCUUCUUCAAUUAUACUCCACAACAGAGCGUAUAUAUGUAUUAGCUUCUUCCAAAUACUGAAGAUUAUAUGUAUUAGCUUUGUUUAUUAUUAAUGCCAUGUUUCACCCUUUUCAUUGUUCCAAGAUUAGGGUCACAUAACUUUUUAUUAUUUUCAACUUCCGAACAUGUCCUUAUAAAGUUUUAAACAAUAGGUUAAAUCAUUCACGUGGGAUCAUAAAAUAAAUUCUGAUUUGAAAAGAAAUUUAGAAGCAUAAGUAACACCACCAUGACUGCAUGGCUUUCGUUUGUGCGUGUUAUUUAGGAUUACAAACGAGUCGAGUCGAAUCGAAUCGAAUCGAAUCGAAUUUUGAUCUAAUCGAGUCGAGUCUCGACUUAAUUUUACUAAGUUCGAACUUGAUGAGCUCUCAAAGUAAAAUUCGAAUUUGAAUUCGACUUCAAAUUCGAAUCAAGUUGAAUUCAAACUCAAUGUUUAAAAAAUUAAUUUUUUAUUUUUAAAAAAUGGAUAAAAUAGUAAUUUUUCUUAACAAAUAAUAAAAUAUUAGGAAUAUAUACAUAAUCUCAUUAUUAAAAUAAAAAAUUAUAUAUAUAUAUAUAUAUAUAUAUAUAUAUAUAUAUAUAAUCGAACUGGUUCGCAAGAUGACAAACUAAAGUAUCUUUGAACUCGAUCUUAAAUUGCUCGCGAACGACGUGCGAGCACCUCGACUCGUAUGCAGCCUAGUGUUAUCCACUCCUCCAAUGAGUCUGUUGUGCAAAGCUGGGAACUGGACGUUCAAAAAUCACAACGCGGCACUGCUAAUAAAAAGUAUAAAAAUCGAAAUCCGUCUCUUAUUCUGAGAGUGAUCAACUUAUGGACAAGAUAGGGAAAAGAAAAAAAGUGUACAAGUAAAGUAACAGAGAGGAGCACUCCUUAAAAAAAAAAAUUGAAAAUUGAGAGUAAGCAGUAACAUAUUGGACUCUACUAGUAUCUCAUACACCUUUUUUGGACUUGAACUAAAGCCUCAAAUUUUGGUAACUAAAACCACCGGACUAAAUUCUCGUUACCCCUUAAUUUUCAGGCUAUCUUUAAAUUUAGGAAAUAUCCAGUAUAUGAUUCUUCUCAUUGCUCAUAUUCUUGAAGUUAGAAUGGUUGAGCAUUGCACAUUGGAAUGCUUAGAGGAUCACCUCCCUUGCCUUGACACACUAGUGGUGAAGUAUUGCUACCGACUUGUGGAGUUCCGUCCUAGUUCUUGGGGACACACCCACACUGCAGAGGAUUGAAUUGCAAAACUGCACUUCCGCUGCUAGGAUUUCUGCCCAGAAUGAAGGAAGAACAGGAGGAAUUGGGAAAGGAUCAGAUUGUGGUCAUCCUUGAUGAAAAACUCCCACGUUAAUUUGGGUCUUUGAAUGUCUUUAUAUUUGGAAAUUUGCUGCCGGGAAAAACCCAGAAACAGUUGAAAACAUAAAACAUACGACAGAAGAUGGAACAUUGAGGCAGAGCAUCAUUUCAUCUUCCCAAACUUCUUUUUUUAGAUAAAAUAGUAUAGUACCAUAUUUUAUGUAGGCAGAUAAUCCCAAGUGGUAUCUCUGUAUUUUCAAGCAGCUAAAACUAAACUAGCAAAACUACCCCAAAAUCAUAACUUUUCAAUAACCCAUUAAAGAACAUAGCAAUUCUGAGGUAAAAGAACUUUGAUAGAUAGCACAUUAAUACGUAUCCUCUUCUCUCUUUUUUGUUCUUGAACAGGAAACAUUGCAUGAUGAACUAAAGUCUAUUGAUUCUUUGAAUAAAUUCAGCAUGAAACCCGUACAAAUUCAACUAAACGCACAGAAGUUUAAAAUUGUGGAAAAAGAUUACAAUCUUUCAUUCAUUGUUAGAAAACUGAAAACAAAGAUGCAGUCUGUUUGUCUCUGGUGACAAAAUAAGAGAACAUCAACAGCCGGGUAUGUAUUUAUUUAGUGCAUACAUGAAUAUAAAAUGAAACAGCAAUUUUUUUUUAUCAAUCAUCAACUCCUGUACUACUCUUACUCUAAACUAUCUAAGGGAGGGCUCAACUAGGCCAAUAUGUUUGAAAUAGUUCCCACUUCUAAAUCAAAGGCAUGCACUACUGCAUAUUUUUAGACUCCAUUUGGGUUACCUAAAUUUUGGGGUAGUUUUCAAAAACUUUACUGUAACUGUAUAUAUGAAAAACUUUACUGUAAAUGUUUUUGGGACUGUUUUUGAAGUAUUUCAAGGGAGGUUUUUUGAAUGAAUUUUAUGAUAUCUUUACAAUUUAUGAAUUUUUGGGGGUAUUUUUAACAAGUUUACACCACCCACCACUAUCAUCCCUUCCCUCUUCCUCCCUCUUCUUCUUCUUCUUCUUCUUCUUCUUCUUCUUCUUCUUCUCUCUCUCUCUCUCUCUCUCUCUCUCUCUCUUCUUCCUUUCUCCCUUCUCCCCCAAUCUCCGGCCCCCAAACCCCACUUCCAUCUCAAAUCUAGUUGUGACUAGCAUUGGUCGCAAUCAUGAUUAGAUUAGAUUUGGUUGUGACCUUUCUGGUCGUGACCAGUAGAAAUAGAGGGGGGAUUUGGGGGGUGGUAGAAGGGGGGAAAAAGGGUGGCAGGGGAGGGGAAGAAGAGAGAGAGAGAAAAGAAGGGAAGAAGGAGAAGGAGAGAGGGAGAACGGAAGGAGGAGAGAGAAGUGGGGAGGGUGGUGGUAGUGGUAGUGGAGAGUGAUGGGUGGUAGUGGUGAUGGGUAGUGUGUGGAAAAAGAAAUGUAAGAUUUUUUUAAGUGUCAUUAUUGGAAUUGUUUUUGAAGUUAUUUUUGGAAUUUACUAUAGUUUUGAAAGACAAAAACAAUUUUUUAAAAACUUGUUAAAUCCAUUAGAUUUUGCAACAAAUUUUUUGAGUUCGUAAAAGUUAUAUACUAUGUUGAAAGUCAUCACUUACUUUAAUACUAAGACCCACCGCUGAGCAUAUAUAUUUACCACAAGCAAACUACAACAGUAUAGUAGUUGUUUGACAUGGAAGAAUGGACAAUUGUAAAAGUCCAUUUCUACAGUGCAAACGUGAGAAACUUUUAUUGUUGUGUCAUGCCUAAAUUGAGUAGCUGUCCUAGUUGUGAUCUUCAACAGAUUUUUAGGGAGCUAUGCAUUAAUGAGAAGCGGAAAAUUGGAGUUGCAUGUUCGGGCUUUACUUGUAUAAAUAGAGAUUUAUUUCUUCAGUUGAAUGCAUCAGAAUUCAAGAGAAAGAAAGUAAAAUAAACGAUCUCAAUUGUUAAGUGAGUGUUUGAGCAGAUUUCUCAAGAGUGAGACUCUGAUAAAAUUAGAACAGAUAUUCUUAAGAAAGAGACUCAAUUUAGUAGUGUCUAGUUUAAGUUUAUUUUGUGAGUGUUGUUACUGUAUAUACUUCGAGUGUAAUAAAAUUAUUCAUUUGUCUCCUUUAUUAGUGGAUUUAAUCCAUUAAAUUGACAUUAGAAUUCACCACAAUCCAACAAUCUGUGAUCAAAGUGGGUCUAUUCUGGACUUGCUCUUGAUAAAAUCUUUAUUUUGCAAGUACAGCCCAUUGGGUUGAUACAAGACAAGAUUCUCUAGAAGCAUAAUGAAAAACUAUGAAAAUUUUUUGAUAUCACACAAGUCAUAAAAUUAACUAUUGCAAAGGUUGCUAUCUCAAUUGGAAAUAUUGAUAAAUUAAGUAUUAAUUCUAACAACUAUAGAUCCUGGAGUACUCGUAUGAAAUUCUACUUGCUUGGACAAGAUUUGUGGGUCGUUAUUGGUAAAGAUGACACAACACCGCCAAUGGAGGCAGAGCCACUUAAAAAGUGGACAGUUAAAGUUGACCAAACUUCAUAUGCUUUGACAAUAGUUGUGGAAGAUGAUUUACUACACCAGAUCAAAGGUGUCAAGACACCAAAGGAGGUAUGGGACACAUUCACAACACUCUUUACAAAGACCAAUGAUGCAAAACUCCAAAAGUUCAAAAAUGAAUUACUGUUUAUUUCUCAACAAAAUACGAUAGUAGGUCAAUAUUUCUUCGAGGUAAAAUCAACUCGUGAUGAAAUAUCCAGAUUGGAUUCCCAAAAUGCAAUCAUAAAGACCAAAAUGUAGAGAAUUAUUGCCCAUGGUCUAAAACCAUUAUACAAGGGUGUUAUUAUUGUCACUCAUGGUUGGGCCAAGGAGUCAAUCUUAAAUGAGUUGGAAAGUUUACUUGCCAACAAGGAAGUUUUAGACAAUCCUAUGUCUAAAGUAUCUAUUAAAGAAGAAGAAAAAGUUCUCUUUAUGAGAAAGGGAGGAUCUCGGCUACAGAUAGAAGACUAGCAAAUAACUAGAAUAACUCAAACGGCAAGUAAGGCCUAUGGCAGCAAAAGAAGUGGAAGAGCAACAAUCAAGUGGGAUGGCCAAAAUAGAAGGCAUCAAUGGUCUCAAGCCAACUAGGUGAUGAAUGCUACAACUAUGAUAAGAAAUGGCAUCUUGCUAAAUUUUGUGUGUGACAGCCCCACCUUACCCUAAGGCGAACCAAAGGAUUCGGCGGACCGCCUGCCCAACUCUCGCCGGGACUCAUUCGUAACUUCAUCAAAAUCGGAAGAAAACUUCACGAAUCAAAUCGAAUUGGACGGGCCGCUGCCACGUCAUCAUCCAACCAGGUACAAGCAAUCAUUAUGUGAUAUGAGAGAAUGUACAUUCCCAAAUACAAAUUUCACUUCAACAUGAGAAAACACUUUAAUAUAUACAUAGUAAUAAGUUUACAAACCAAAAGGAACCAUUGUAUUCAAAUACAUUUAAGGUUUCCAACUUUCAAGGAGCUAUACAAACUAGUAGUUAUACAAGCUCAAUUCGUUCUUCAAAAUGAUCAUUGGUCCAAAAGACGAUUUCCUGUAAGGAAAACAAAAAUAACGGGACGGGGUGAGUUAGAAGUUCAAUGAGGUACCAAAACUAUGAACAGUAGAAAUCAUAAGAAAACAUUUAUAGGUCACAUAUCCACAUCAAGUAAAAGAAAUGAACGAACAUCACACUUUAAAGGAUACAGAUGGCUCUUAGGAGCCAGAUUUUCAUUUGCAAUACUUGAUCCGAACCCGUUGCCUCUCCGUCAACGUAAAUAGAACCAACAUGUCCGUAGACCCCACUUUACACCAAUUCCGUCCACCAAACAUACCCCUACCGGGCCCGCACAUCGAACAGAGCAGAAGUGGUAAUACUCGAGUAUACCCGGAAUCAAGGGUCUCAAUACCCAAAAAUCCCAAAACAGACUACCGUGGUUCAUUAUCUAAUCGACCAGGCCCUUGCCGGCCCGACUUGAAUAACUAGCCACAGGGGUUGAGUUCAGAGAUCACAGAAAGGUCGUUGGAUACAAGUUCCAAACGACGUCCGAACAGAUACAGAUACAGAUGACAGAUACAGAAACAGAUUCAGAUUCGCUCCAAAAUUGGCAUAUGAACAGACAAGAGAACGAGUGCGAUAAAGUACACCCUCAUCUCAAACAAAAUAAACAGGUAGUGCAGUCAUUUAACUCACAGAUGGCAGGCCAGAAAUCAAGUUAAACAGCAAUUGAGGAGAGUGGUACACUCAUCGAUUUCAGUACAGACACGUCAAAAGUUUUUUGCCCAAAAUAGAGCUUUAAUCACCAAGGAGGCCUAAAAUAACCAAGGCGAAACAAUUAUGAUUCCCACUUUCAUGAAUCCAGUACACAAAAUACACAUAUAAUCAAAGGCAUGAACAACCCAAAAACCCUUCGCUCAAGUCAUAAGUAAAUCCAACUAGCCUUCAAGUAAAGUUUCGGGCAGCAUAUCCCUUGUGUUUACCUAUUUUUCAGCCAUUAAUGGCUUCAUUAUUUUCCUCAAAUCAGUCCCAACAUGUCAUACAGAAUAAUCUCAUUUCCAAAAGCCGUUCGCUAGGCUUAACAUCAUGUAAAUACGAAAAUCAAGCUUGAAACAUUACCGGAAAUGGCAUUAAGCUCUAAACCAGAAAAACAGUUUUUGACGUCAUUAUGCGGUUUUGACACCAUUGGCACUACGGUUAUCGGAUGGAGGUGCAAGACCCACCAUUUCAAAGCUAAGAUAUAGGGCUACAAUAUUGCAGAAGGUCACUCAGUCCAGUUCCUAGUCGAACUAAGUAAAAAAUGUAGAAUACUAACCCAGAACCGCAAAAACAGGUUAUCCCACCGCAUUCUGGUUCAACCAUCAUAAAACAAGCUACCUAAGUCCAAAUCUAGUAAUUCCAAAGCCAUCCGAAAGCUUAGAAAUAGGGUUACAUUUCAUCAGAAGACUCAACAACCAAUUCUGAAGCAUUCCUAACCAAAAUAACCAAUUACAGACGAAAUUCUCAAAUUCGGGUAAAACCAGGACAGCAAGGGUAAUUUCGACUUUUCUCAAGCUACGCUACUCCGAUUGACCUGAAAUAUUGUAGGCAUCUCUAAAAUAUCAUUCCCUACAACUUUCAUGUUUUAACCCAAGGCCAAUUCGGUCUCUAACUAUGAGGUACUGUGCCGGGCAGAAUGUAAAUAAGAAAACCCUAACUUUUCCAAUUUUCUUCCAAAACAGAAAUUUCUUACAAUUAACCACUUUUCCCACCUUCUAGCUUCCUUAAACAUCAUUUCCAAUCAUCAUACAUGGUCACACCAUAACACUCAUAUUAAAACAGAAAUAUCAUGUUUAAAUAGAAAAAUCUCAUCAAUCUCAACCAAAAUCAUGAAAUCACACCAAAAAUCACCACUUUAACUCACAUAGGGUAUUAAUUAAGCAUUAUUGGAAAGACAAGAGUAGUUCCUUAGUCACUCACCUUAUAAGACAAGAAAGGAAGCAAUCCAACACCUUAGCCUUCCAAACAACUUCACAAAUCACCUCACUAGCACUCACUUGUAGGUUUUUAUGGAACAAAUGUAAGAUUAACCCGUUGGAAUUGAAGAUUGAGCAAAUUUGGAGCAAAGCUUUGGAGAGCUUUUCUUUUCUUUCUUUCUUGAAUGGUGGCCGGCCAAGAAGCUUCAAUUUGGGGAUAAUUUUGGUCAAUUUUUGGUUUAAAUGGUAAAGGCAUGAAUAAUGGUAAAAAGGUCAAAAGAUAAGAAUGAAUCUCUAAGUGACACAUGUCCCUCUCAUUAAUGUCAUGCCUAACUUUUUUUGUCUUUCUCACACCUAUGCACUUGGUACCUCUAAAUAUCUCAUAACACCCGAUAAAUUAAACCCAGUAUCCAAAAUUUAACCGAACUGGCCGAAUUUUUCCGAACUUUCUGCACUAGCGGGUCCCACGUCCGUUGUACGUUCUUAAUUUUUCAAAAACUAUCCGAUACUAGGAAAAUCAUCUAAAAACUAUAUUAACUCAUAAAAUUAUCUGGAAAAAUUUUCCUAUAUAAAAAAAAAUGCAGAAAAGCAUGCGAUUAAAUAAAAAUUAAAACUAGGAAAAUGAAGAAAGUACGGGUUCUCACAUUGUGGAUCCCCACCAGUAGAAGAUAAUGCUGCUACAUCCUCCAAAAAGGUGAAUGAGGAUGAUGAAGAUUGAGAUGUCCAAGUAUACUUCGCAGUAGAAAAGUUUACAUUUUGCUGCAUUACUGAACUACAAGAAGAGCUCGCUCUUACAGUGGUGAGUACUAAACCUAUCAACCAUAUUGGCAAUUGGAUUAUUGACUCUAGUUGUUCUAACCAUAUGACUAGAAACAAAGAAAAACUAAAAGAUUUGACAGAGUACAAAGGCAGCCGUUUGGUGGUGACAGCUGAUAAUUCUAAUUACCAAUUACUUAUAUUAGUAAUACGGUGAUACUACCUCGAUACAACUCUCAGUAGGUAGAGUUGUAGCACAUCUACUACGUACCUAGAAUGGAGAAAAAUUUACUAUUGGUUUCUCAACUAACAGUGUCUGGCAACUACGUGUUGUUCAGAUCUGAUGAUGUCAAGGUGUAUCGACAUCUAAAAAUUACAGGUACACCAAUGAUGCAUGAAAGAUGACUAGAGUCAGUGCAUGUGAUGUCAGCUCAAGAAACCUAUGUUGAUAAGAGAAGAAAGAACGAGACAAUUGAUAUGUGGCAUGCUAGACUGGGGCAUAUCAAUUAUCACAAAUUGAAGAUCGUGAUGACGAAGUUGAUGCUUAGUGGACCUCUUCAGUUAGAUGUCCAAGAAGACAUUGUUUCUGUAGGUUACCAGUAGGGAAAUGCUCAUCAAUUUCCAUAUGAAGAGUCAAAGUUCAGAUCCAAUAUGCUUUUAGAGUUAAUUUAUUCAAAUGUGUUUAGACGAGUAAAGGAACCAUCCAUCAGUGGUAUGAGAUAUAUGAUUACCUUUAUUGAUGAUUUUUCUAGAUGUGUUUAGGUCAACUUUUUGAAGGAAAAGUCAGAAGUUUUAAACAAGUUUAAAGAGUUCAAGGAUAAAAUCGAGAAAGAAGUAGGUCAGAAAAUAAGAUUCCUACACAUAGACAACAGAUCUGAAUGCACAUUGGAUGAGUUCACCAGAUUCUUGAAGGAGUCCAAGAUAAGACAGCAGCUGACUUGUCCUAGCAUGUCUUAGCAAAAUGGAGUAGUUGAAAAGAAGAACAGACAUCUUGCAGAGAACUGCAAGAGCAUGCUAUAUUCCAAAAAUGUAUCUCUCUGUUGUUUAGGCAAGUGCAUAAAGACGGUAGUCCACGUGACCAACAAACUAUUUCAGCCUAAAUUAGACUUUGUUUCUCCAAUUGAGAAACUAUGAAAUGCUAAACCUAAUGUUACUCACUAUAGAGUAUUUGGGUGUAUUUGUUAUGUUUGUUAUGUUUUUGUGCCAGAUCAUCUUCGAACAAAGUUUGAUAGGAAGUUCAUUCGUUACAUAUUCGUGGGCUAUGAUAAUCAACAGAAAGAUUGGAAGUGUUCUGACCCCAUGACUGAAAAAUGCUAUGUCUCAUGAAACGUAGUAUUCAUUGAGGCAUCAUCUUGGUGGUUGCCCCAAGAAACAUUGUUGCCAGGCUUACAUGAAUUAAAAAAGAAGCUAUAGAAGAGAUCUGAUUAUCAACUUAAAACCAACAAACUAGAAACAAAUUAAGAGAGAGCUGAAGACAUAAUCAAUAUUCAUUCACUUGAGAAAAGCAAAAGUCUUUAGCAAACAAGAGUACAUGAUCCAGCCUCAGAAGAUAAAAGCCUAAGCUAGUUCGAGAAGAUUGAUGGUGAUGAUAAUUCUCCUAUACAACUCCAGAGAUCAACUAGACAAAGAAAGGUAAAUCUCAGGUAUGCCAAUACAGCUUUGACAGAAGAUGAUGAAGUAGUUGAACUAUCUACUUACUAGAAGGCAGUUCAAAACACUGAGUAGAAGAAAGCCAUGGAGAAAAAGAUUCAAGCAUUCAACCAAAAUGAGACUUAGGAUCUUGUUUCAAAACCAAGAGCUAUUAAACCUAUCUCUCGCAAAUGGGUCUAUAAGGUUAAGAUUCACUUAGUUGCUCAGUUGAGAGAUACAAGGCACAUCUCAUUGCUCGUGAAUUUCCUCAAAAUAUGGGCUGGAUUAUGAUAAAACAUUUAGUCCAGUGGCAAAGCUGACCACGGUUUGAGUUCUAUCUGUAGUUGCAGCCAACAAGUCAUAGAAGCUUUGGAAGAUGGAUGUCAAAAAUGUUUUCUUUCAUGGAAAGCUAGAUCAAGAGAUCUAUAUGGAUCAACAACAAGGGUUUGAAGACAAAAUCCGACCAAGUUAUGUAUGCAAAUUGAAGAAAACUUUACAUAGAUUAAAUCAAGUACCUAUGGUAUGGUAUGGCAAGAUAGUUGAAUUCUUACUUCAAAGUGGAUAUUUUGUGGCACCUAUAGAUUUCACGUUGUUCGUGAAAGCUAUCAAUGAAAGGUUAGCUACUGUCCUUGUGUAUGUUGAUAAUCUAAUCAUUACAAGUGAUGAUGAUGAGGAAAUUCAAUGAACUAAAGUAAACUUGUCUGUGCGCUUCCAAACAUUUUCUUGGUCUUGAAGUUGAUAGGACCAGUGAAGGUUUGUUCUUGUGCUAAAAAAAAUAUGCCAAAGAUUUAUUGAAGAAAUUUAGGAUGCUUGAGUGUAAGCCCGUCUCAACUACGUGUUGGAGAUCAAUGCUAGAUAUUGCUCUACUGAGGGUAAAAACCUUGAUGAUACUACCAUGUAUAGACAGUUAGUAGGUAGUUUAAUUUAUCUCACUUUGGUUAGAUCUAACAUAACAUAUGCAGUUAGGAUCGUGAGUAGAUUCAUGCAAAAUCCAAAGGAAACACACUUGGAAGCUAUGCGUCGAAUUUUGAGAUACAUUAAAGGAACCAUUGACUAUGGUCUAUUGUACAAAAAAGAAAAAACUUGCACAAUGACCUGAUAUUGUUAUGCAAACUAUGCCGGUGUUUAUGAUACAAGGAGGUCAACUGUAGGUUAUAUGUUUAACCUUGGAUUAGUCAUAAUUUCUUGAUGUAGUAAGUGAAAUCGACAGUGUCAUUAUCCAGUACAGAAGCAGAGCAUAGAGCAACAGCUUCAGCAACACAGGAAAGCACAUAGUUAAUGCAACUUAUGAAGGACUUGCACUAAUCAAUUGAUUACUUGAUUCAAUUAUAUUAUAACAACUAGUUAGCUAUUCGCAUGGCUGAAAAUCUAGCAUUUCAUGUGAGAACAAAGCAUGUUGAAACUCACUAUUAUUUUGUUCGAGAGAAGGUGUUGCAAGGAGAAAUUGACUUGAAGUAUGUCAACACAGAUGAACAAGUUGCUGAUAUAUUCACAAAGAGCUUGAAUCCUUCCAAGUUCAUGAAAUUUCGAGAGUAGGUUGUAUCCCUCAGCAUUGACUUUUCUCAUAGUAAUAUCGAACAUCUCUCGAAAUUUCAUGAACUUGGAAGGAUUCAAACUCUUUGUGAAUAUAUCAGCAACUUGUUCAUCUGUGUUGACAUACUUCAAGUCAAUUUCUCCUUGCAACACCUUCUCUCGAACAAAAUAAUAGUGAGUUUCAACAUGCUUUGUUCUCACAUGAAAUGCUAGAUUUUCAGCCAUGCGAAUAGCUAACUAGUUGUUAUAGUAUAAUUGAAUCAAGUAAUCAAUUGAUUAGUGUAAGUCCUUCAUAAGUUGCACUAACUAUGUGCUUUCCUGUGCUGCUGAAGCUGCUGCUCUAUGCUCUGCUUCUGUACUGGAUAAUGACACUAUUGAUUUCACUUACUACACCAAGAAAUUGCGACUAAGCCCACCUUGAAAGUCAUCACUGACUUUAAUGCUAAAGCCUACCAUUGAACUAUAGACAUUUACCACAAGCAAACUCCAACAAUAUAGUAGUUGUCUGACAUGGAAAAAUGGACAAUUGUAAAAGUCCAUUUUCACAGCGUGAAUGUGAGAGACUUUUGCUGCUAUAUCACGCUCAAAUUGAGAAGCCAUCGUGAUCUUCAAUAAAUUUUUAGGGAGCUAUGCAUUAAUGAGAAGGGGAAAAUUGCAGCUACAUGUCGGGGUUUUACUAGUAUAAAUAGGGGUUCACUUUUUCAAUUGAAUGCAUCAGAACUCAAGAGAAAAAAAGUAAAAUAAACGAACUCAGUUGUUAAGUGAGUGUUUGAGCAGAUUUCUCAAGAGUAAGGUUCUAAUAAAAUUAGAACAAAUAUUCCCAACAAUGAGACUCAAUUUAGUAGUGUCUAGUAUAAGUUUAUUUUAUGAGUAUUGUUAUUGUAUACAUUUUGAGUGUAAUAAAAUUUUUCAGUUGUCUCCUUUAUUAGCGGAUUUAAUCCAUUAAUUUGAUAUUAGAAUCCACCACAAUCCAACAUAACAAUCCCCCAUAAAACAAAUCCUAUUUCAAUUCUCACAUAUAAAAUAGAACAAAACAAUCCUUCACAUCUAAAAAAUAAACUGAUUUGAUAUCGCAACAUAUUUUAGAUUAAAUUUUUGACCUGAAAAUGUACAUCCAAAUCACAUACUCAAAUUUCGAGAGGCAAAAUAUGAACAAAAAUAACAUUCUCCUAAAAACAACCUUUAACCACCACUUCUAGGAGAAGAGGGAAUGGAUGGCAAAAGGUUUUUUUUUUUGGAUGAAAAUAUUAAUUUUCUUCUUAUUUGCCUCUCGAAAAUAUGAGCACUUGACUUGGACGUGCAAUUUUUCACUAGAAUUUUGGAUAGAAAUAAGUUGUUAGACAAAAUUUAUUCAUUUGUAAUAUGUGGUGGACUAUUUUGCAUCAUUUUAUAAACAAGAGACUCACAAAAGUAUAAAUUAACCCCAUCAACUGAACUUUUGCAUUUGUUUUGCCAAGUGCAAAGAGUCCAAUACAGCAUUUCUACUAUCCCAAGGAUUCGAGGCACUAUACAUUCUAGACAUUGUAAAAGUUUGUCUCAAGUCCAAUCCCGUCCAUUUAAUUUUAGAUCAUCUUGCAAUUGAUGUUCCUAUCAAUUUUGUCCAUUUAAUUGUAGAUCAAACCUAUCAUUAGUUGCACCUCGCAAUUGAUGUUGCGAUUGUAGAGGCCCUAUCUAUCUAGUUUGGACUCUUGGGGAUAUACCACAUCAUGAAAAUUUAAACAACAAAUAUAGAUAGUUAUUAAUAUCUACAGUAAAAGUUGUGUUUCUAUAUGUUAUUGUUUUUAGUAUCUAAACUUGUUGGUAUUCUAUGUACAUCUAUUGUAUUAAUAUAUACAAUUUUUUGCUGUAUGCAUUGCCAAAAGGAGAUGUAAGGCCUCCCAAAUUGUGGCAUACUAGCACUAGUCCAUUUUGGACCAGUGGAUGGCAAUGUUUUGAAAUCCAAACUAAUAAGUGAACCAAAUAAACUUCUGAUUUAUGGUUUAACCAAUUUGAUCAGUUCAAUUCCAAUUUAAUGAUUUUGAAAUUUUUUUAUUAUUUUAAUAUUUAAUUACUUGAAUAAAAUUCAUAUAUAAAAAAAAUUUAAUGAAAAAACCAGUUCAAAGACCAACUCUUGCCAGGAUUUGAUCGAUUCAUUUGGCUUUCUAAAUUAAAUAUAGAAAUGGACUAAAACCAUAAUCAAUUCAUGAUUUGACCAAUCAAGCCAGCCAGUCCCAAAACAUUAUUGCCAUUAUUAAUUUCCCCUUUAACAUUAUUGUUUAGUCACUUUACCCCUAAAACUAACGGUCAAAGUUAACCAAAUUUGUUAAUUCAAAUAAAAAGAUAUGUUUAGCCCAUAAAAUUAUUAUCACUUUACCACCAUAAACUAUUAACUUAUUAUCAACUUAUCCCUGGAGUUAUUUUUUAGGCAAUUUAUCCCACUAUUAAAUCAACCUAGCAAGUCAAAAAUUUUUGAAAGAAAGUACCCUCCUCUUUGUAUAAUAAAAGUAAUAAAAAAUUUCGAGUAGCUCUUCUCUUUUUUAGUAUCAAGAAAAAAAAGUCAAAGCAUUAAUUUCUUUCUUUUUAGCAAUCUUAUUAAUAUUGAAAAAAAAAUAGAAAGGUAGGGAUGAGGAAAGAGAGAGAGAGAGAGAGAGCUCAAUUCUUUUUCAAAAAAAUUACAAAUCAGAAAGAGUUCAACAUUUUUGUUAUUUUAAAAUUACUUUACUUUUCUGUGUACUACCCAAUUCCAGUUCUAAUCCCGACAACAUUAAAGUAGUAUGAUAAUAUUAGAUUCUCGCUUAUUUUUUUCUUUGUAAAAUCUAAUUUUCUAUCUCCAUCUCUCAUAUAUAUUUUUCUUUUCGUAGUAUCAAUAAGUGUAAAAAAAGAAAUUUGAAAAAAGUCUUUUACUUUUAUGUUUUGGAACUCUAAGAGUAAAAAAAUGAAGAGUAACCAUUUCAACUUUUUUAUUUUUAAUUAUAUAUAAAAAAGGGUAAAUACAUUAAAAAUUUUUGGACAUACUGGUUAGGUUAAAAAUAGGGUAAAAUGUCUAAAAAAUAAUAUUAGAAAGUAAAGUAACUAUAUCACUAUAAUUUAAAGAGAGAAAGUGAUAAUAACAACGUAGUAAUAUUAUAAAUAGAAGGGUUUUGUCCAAAACUUGUUAACAUGCAGAGUUAAAUCACCUAUGGGGGUGAAAUGAACGUUAAGGGGUAAAUUGAAAAUAGUGAUAUAGUUUAAGAGGGUAAAAUAAUAAUAACCCUAUUAUAAAGUCGCCUAGUGAGACUGACAUCAAAACUCAAAAUCAAAACACCAUCCAAGCAAUCAAAUAAAGUGUGCUGAAAUAUUUAUUUUUUUUAAGAACAAAUUGUGCAAAAUGUCACUCAACUAUUGCAAUAUAUUACUUUUGGUCACUAAACUUUUUUAUUACUCAAAAAUAUCGCCGAACUAGUAAAUCUGUACCGUUUAGAUCACUCCGAUUAUUUAUGUCAUUAGGAGAGAUAGAAAGUAACUUUUCGAGGGGUAAUUUCAUCUACACAGCUUUUUGUGGCAUGAAAAGGACAAGAGUGGGGCGAGUAGAGUUUAGAAUGUUGGCAAAAUUUUCGACAAAGCAAACGAUCGAUGAGAAAAGUUCCCACAUUAAUCCAGCAAAAUCAAAAUAAUCAGUGAAGAGAAUCAAAGCACAGGCUGAAGAUGAAAAUUAGCAAUGAAGCACAAGUGAUCGAUGGCAACGAAGUGGGUGAAAAGGCAAAGGGAUGAGUUCAUUGAUCUGUACACACUAUACUAUAAGAAAUCUUACAAUCCCACUCUUGUAAAUUUGGUUAAUAUUUGAUUAAUCAUGUUGUAUGUAUUAUGAAUAUAAUGAAAUAUUUAACUAGAGUGUUUAUUAGGUUUAGGGUUUGCUGAUAUGAUCUAGUUGUUUGGAAAAGGACACAAGAACAAGUGAAUUCCCCUUUUAUCGUAGUAGUGGGUUGCGAAAGGUCCUACAAGAACCCUGUGUCUGAUAAAUUAAUCAAAAAAAUUACAAACUUUUGUGGGAGCUAUCUAAUUUGAAUUAAUUAACAAUUGGGGGUUAAAUAUUUUUAUUGGAAGAAUAACAUAUAUGACAGUAAAAAUUGGUGAUUAACAAGAAUCGUGUUGCUUGCCUUUUUUUGUUGUUGCAGUUCCUGAUAAAUCUGCAUUUUCCAUUGACAAAUACAAGAGUUAUGUGUGUGGAGAGAUUGAUCGCUUUGAUCUUUACCGUGCUAAUUUUAUUUUGAUUCAUGAAAUAAUUGAAAUGGUUGAAGAGCGUGGACGUAGUGAUACCAUGUUAUAUUAUUAUAUUGACCCUAAAGGGGAUUUGAAUCAUGGACUGAUGGAACUUCAAAUUGAUAAAUACAUUAGACAAUUCUAUGGUUGAGUUUAUGAGUACAAGUUAAUGGAAGUCAAUUGUCAUCGUAUCAUAGUUGAGGAAAUAUAUGAGUUGCAGAAGAAAAAGCAACGAGAAGAGUCCUCAAAGACAAAGAGUUCGGUUGUAAUAGAGGAGAUUUUGGAUGAUGGUAAAGUCCUACACAACAGACAGCAGCACCUUGUAACCGCAAAAAGGAGGUAAAGCUGGUAAAUCAGUUGCUGCUUUAGAGUGGAAGCAUGACCAUGUUGGUUAAGAUGAAAUAUCACACCAAGAAUCUUCUAGGAGAUGUGACCAAGCCAACAAGAAAAGUAAGAUAGGUACUUGUGCUAGUACUUGUACUGAUAAUAGUGCUAGUAAUGAAGGCAAUAGAGAUGACGAAACUAUUGAGGGAGGUGACCAACCUGUUCAUGAUUCAGCCUAUAGUGAUAGAAGGGAUUUCGAAUAGUACAAUAACUACUACAAAGAUGAGUACAUGCAUAGACAUGAGUUUGAGCCACAAAUGCAGAGCCAAGUUGAAAAUAACCCAACUCCUUCAAGUCAGAAUAGGAGGGAUAAUGGUAGCUCCAAUAAUAGAAGAAGAAGAGAUAGCAGAAAAUCUCAUACCUCAAAGAUCAUUUCUGCUUUAGCUGAAAGAGCCACAAAUGGAGAUGCAUCAAAUAGAGGUGUAGCAACUCAAGGUGCAGUAACUAAAGCCGCAACAACUCAAAAUAGAGAAGAACACAACCUACUCUUAGAUGAUCAAGUUGAAGUGGAGCUAAAUAGUGACCCAAAUUCAGAAGAUGAAGAAGAUCCAGCGAGAUACACUAGUUUCAAUGCUACAGGGAUGGAAUAGAUCCCCAUUUUCAUAUCGGACAAAAAUUUGGAACAAAAAAAUAGUUUAGAAAUGCUCUCAGAAAUUAUAUAAUUAUGAGUGAAAGACCUGUAUACAUGUAUACUAGUGACAAAAUAAGAAUGAGAACUAAAUAUGCAGAUCCAUGUAAUUGGUAUAUUUAUGCUAGCCACAUUCCUGCUUUGGGUACCCAAAACUUUGUUGUUAAGCGAAUUUCUGAUGUUCGCAACAAUUGCAGCCAUGCCUGUAGAAACAAAAACAUGAUAUCUAAUUAGGUAGUCGACAAGUUUGAAGAGUCUGUUAGAUCUAGUAUGAACAUGCUUGUUAGCCAAUUGUUACAGAAUAUUGAUGAGCAAUAUAGUUGUGAGAUUACAAGAAGCUAGCCACAGAUAUUGUGUACAAUAUAUGUACAGAAACUUCAAAAAAAACACCUUGGCGAAGUGCUUAAAGAAAGAUUUUGGAGCAUUGCAGUAGCAUCAACAAUGGAGUUCUAUGAGGCAGCAUUGAAAGAGUUAAGAGCAUAUGACCAACAAACUCAUGCAUGGGUCAAGAGAGCUGCACCAUCUCAUAAUUGGUGUAAGACUUUUUUCCAGACAUGUUAGUUAAUAAUUUAUCAGAAACAUUUAAUUCCCAUAUAUUGAAUGCUAGAGAAUUGCCAGUGAUUGAAAUGGUUGUGUGGAUUAGAUAGUUUAUAAUGGAGAGGAUAUCAAAUAAGGUGCUUUGGAUGAGAAAAUGUAGCGGUCCUAUGCGGCUAGCAAUAAAUUCUUUAACUAAGGAAAGGAAAAAACUUUCUAGGAAAUGGAAGCCAAUAUUAAAUGAUAAAUGGGGUAUCAAGUUAGGGGACCUAGGGGAGAACAAUUUGCUAUGUACUUAGAAAACAAAACAUGUACAUGCAAGUUGUACCAAAUUAGGGGGCUGCCCUGCUGACAUGUAAUUUCUGCCAUCCUAAAAAUUGGUAGGGACCCAAAUGACUAUAGAGAUUAGUCUUAUAGUAGAGAUAGAGUGACACUCCCUUAUUGAAUCCUCCACUUGCAUGUGUCCAAUUUGGUAGGUCCAAAAAAAUAAAAAUAAAAAUAAAAGAUAGUUCUAAAAACAGAAGUGGUGUUCAUGUUGGAAGUGACAAUGUGGAAAAUUAAGAAAACAUGCAAUCAUACACUAUAGAAGAUGUGGUCAGGCAAGCCACAAUGCUACUACCUACAAAAGUAUUCUGAAAAAUGGAGGCCCUGUUUGGAAGUGCAAGUUUUUAGCAAGUUUGUUUCCUACAAGUUUUUUAACAACUUUUGCUACAGGAACCCCAAAAAAUUUCACAAAGUUUUUUACCUACAUGCCUCAAAAUACCCAAAACACACAAAAAAAAAAUUCCCUCCCCUUUUUCUUCUACCUCCGUCACCCACUCCAACCCACCACCACCUCCGUCCCCACCUCCGUCACCCACUCCAACCCACCACCACCUCCUCCUCCCCCACCUCCCCUUUUUCUUCUUCGUUCUCCGUCACCACCACCUCUGUCAUCACCUCUUCCAAUGCCCAGCAAGAACAAUUAGGCCCUCCAUGAAUGGAGGUAGCACCGAUUCAUCAGCAACUGGGCCUUGCAAAGUUUCCGAUGCCAAACUCGUCCCAGCCGGUAAGCAACUUGGCAGGUUUCUGCUCGAAGGGAACAUCGCCGGUGACUUUGCCGAUGUCGCAGAAGUGGAAGGAACACUGGCACCGGCGGAUGGAACCUCUGCAGUGGCUGGAACUGGAGAACUCGUUGAGCUUUCGAUUGGAGAUGCGGUGACACUGCCGGAGCAUUCACCAGGGAGAAGCCGCAGGUAUUGUUGGAGGAAUCUUUGGAAAUGGAGAAGGAACCGGGGAUGCAUGAGGGCUGGCCGAAGAAGCUGUGGGCACAGGAGUUUUUGAGGGGGAAGGGGAAGGGAGGAAGGAAAAGAAAAAAGAAAGAAAGAAAAAGAAAGAGAAAAAGAAAAAGAAAGGACAAAAAAUGGUGACCAUUGCUGCUGGGGAGGCAACGCAGAAGUAACAGGGGAGGGAAGGGGGAGUGGGAAGGAAGAGGAAGAAGAAGAAGAGAGGAAAGAAAAGAAAAAAAGAAAAAAAAAGAAAAAAAAAAGGAAAAGAAAAAAAAAGAAAAGGAAAAAAACUUCCAAAAAACUUCUCAAAAAAACUUAAAAAUUUUUUUCUAUCUUAAAAAAUUUUUCCAAAAACUUCUACAGUACACUACAGUAAAGUUUUAGACAAACUCCCAAAAAACUCAGGUUCCAAACAGGCCCGGAGUUAAAGGUUGCAGUCAACCCGCUUCAACUCCUAAACAUGCUAGAAAGUCUUAUAAAGGUGCACCAGUUCAGCCUCAUGCUCAUAAGGAAGUUGAAGGAGAUCGUGCAAGUGGUACCAAUUCUCAACAAAAUGGAGCUGAAGAGCAAGCUACUUCACAUAAUGACAUCUUUUCACGUGCUGAAAGUAAUGCACAUGCUACGAGGCCAUCAGAAUUGCAGAAACAGCCAACUCAUAAUGUUGAUAGUGUUGAUGCUACCAAUAGUAAGAAAAAGCAGAAGAUUAGGAAGACUAGAACCCCUGUAGAUGUUCAAUUUCUUUUCACUUUUGUCUUUAGUUUUACAAUGGCAAGUAGCUAAGUUAACUAUUAUGUAAUCUGUACAAGUAAGGAGAGUUAGACCUGCCAAUAAUGCUAACCAGUCAGUUGCAAGGACCCACAAACAAUCUUUCUAUUCAAAGAGGGAGCUGUCUGAAAUAGACAAAAUAAGGAUCAACACCAACUAUGAACACUUGGACAAAGAACCCCCCCCAUUCAAGAUUGAUAGAUAGGCUGGCAUAUCAAGGAGCAACAGAGAUGGAAGAUUAGAUUAAAGUAUUUAUGAAUAUAUAUUGGCUUCGUUUGGACGUAUUCAAUCUUUUGUUUGGAUGUAUUCUAUGUCAAGGACAAUUCUAAACUUUUUACAUGUGAAACAAGGUUAACUUUGUUGGGUGUUUUCAUUAGGGGAUUCAUGGUAAUGACACUAAUAAUUAUAACUCUUUUCUACUCUUUUGUUUGGAGGUGUGCAUAUUCAAUCUCAUUUUACUGGCUCCACUAGUCUUUUGUUGUAUUUGGCAUUUUUGAAGAUGCAUUUGUGAGCCAGUUUUCUUUUGAAUACAUAUGUUGAAACUAGUACUUCACUCUUUUAUUCAUAAACUACAAUCUCAAAUAUCCAAGGUGUAAAUAACACCAACCAAAAUGAGGUGUAUAUAACAACAGCACUACCUCAAUAAAAUAAGAUACCUACUAAACCAUUUGGCAGAAUUGGUUUCGGAUUUGAAAGACAACAAUACCCUAAUAGCCAUCAGUUUAUAGUCUUCCAAACUUGUGUUCCGUACUAGGCCUCCAAAUCCACAUUGAUGCACUAAAAAUUAUCUAGGUUACAAGAAAAAGAACAAUAAGUAUUUGUUUUCCUAUUCUUUCUUCCAAGCUUCUCCUUCAAAUUUUUUUACUUGAAUCUCCAUUUUCUCAACUUUGUUUUGCCGCUUGAGAACUUGCUCCCACAAAGCUUCAUUCUCGGUUUCCAACCUAUUUACUCUUCUUAAAAGACCAAGUAUGACUUGUUUGGAAUGCUCACACAUUUCAUCUUCAUACCAAUCUGAAUAACCACAGCCAUCAACCUACAAAAAAAUUAUAAGAGUUCUUUCAGGUAAUAGAUGCCCAAAUAUUUACACAUUAACCUAAUCAUCUUGUAAGUCCCGGUGCAACCCAAUGAGUACAAACAAAUUCACAAUGAUGCACAAAAAUAUAUCAAAUUUAAGCACAAUAAAGAAAACUUAAUUAAAGAGAAAAGAUAAGAAAUGCAAACCAAAUAUCAAACCAAUAGCCUCUUCAAUUGAUGGCGAUGCUAACCAAGAUGUACAAGUGAAGGCUCACUCCUUCCUCACCCCAAACACACUUUGGUUGAGCCAAGGAGUUUUACAACUAUUCUAAUUAACCCUCAACAACCUACACUUGAAAGAUCACUCACCCAAUUAAGAACUAUUUUAUACAAAUGAGGCAACCUUCACCAAGGUUUUACUACUCCAAGUGAUAAGUUCACCUUCACCAAGGUUUUGCUCCUCCUAGAGAGUAACCUUCACUUGAGCAACCUCACAACCCAACUUUCCCAACCCCUUAUACAACCAACAAAGAAUCUUUCUACUCAAAAAUCUCACUUGUAAGCUUGUAUUUUGUGUUGGCAAAAGUCUUGUGUUUUCUUGUGCUUUGGGGUAUUUAUAGAAGAUGAGAAAUGGCUCCAAAAGUCUCUCCAACGGUCAAAUAUUAAAUGCUAUCAAAACUAGCCGUUGGUCUGUCGGACGUCCGAACGCACCUGUCGGACGUCCGAACCCUGCGUCCGAACGUAGGCAGAGAGUCAUCAAAUCUUUGCGAAAUUUCUCGGACGUCCGAUGCGAUCGAUGUGCGUCCGAAGCGUGCGUCCGAUCCUUCCGGACGUCCGAUGCUUCCUCACGAGCGUCCGACAGAGUUUCCUUCUUAAUGUUCUUCAUCCUUUCGGACGUCCGAUAGCGUCCGACAUGAGUGCCCUGUUUUUGCUUCUUCUUUUAUGCCACAAGAAUCUGUUCUAACAAAUUACUCACAUAAAAACAUUAGCCCAAAUCUACAUUUUGGUUUGUUAAUCAUCAAAACCAAGGAUUGAUCGACCAAGGUCAACAAUCUCCCCCUUUUUGAUGAUGACAAACAAAAUGAAGAUUUCUUUUAUCAAAUAAGUCCAAAUAAAGCUCCCCCUUAGAAAGUGCCAACAUACAAAGAAAUUUCAAUAGAUCCUACUCCCCCUUUUGGCAUCAAUAAAAAAAAAACAAACUCCCCCUUUAUUUUUCAAAUCAAGACCAUAUUGAAUAUCAAAAUUUUCAAAUGUACUUACAACCAUAUAGCACUACUUGGAUCAAAUCUUCAUGAUGUACCUAAAUAUGAGAAAUUUCAUUUGGUACCCUUUCUUUAUAGGGUCCUUGGGAGUUAAUACGACAUGAUCUAGCAAUCCACAUGAAUUUCAUGCCUUUUCUCAUAUUUUUCUUUACAUAGCAAUCAUUUUGCAUAUGUCCAAAUUUACAACAAAAGUUACACAUGAUAGAAGUAUUUUGCACAUAGGUGGAUUUAAUGCAACUAAUUUUCUUACUUCUUAUCAUAACAAACUUAUUUGUGCCUUGAAAAGAUUUGCUUUCUUUUGUUUGAGAAAACUUUUGUUUUUCAUUUUGGAGAAACUCGUUCAAGUCAUUAAUUCUUUUCUUUAACACAUUUUGUUCCUCCAACAUUUUUUCAUAAAACUUUGGGUUUGUUUGGAUUCAUUGUUUUUGGGUCUGUUUUUGAAAAACUGUUUUUCACAUUCCAAAUGCUACAGUAAUGUGUAUUUCAAAAACAACUCCAAAAACACUAUAUCCAAACAAUAUAUCAAAAACAACUCCAAAUACAUAUUUAAUAUGUUUAUUUCAAUUUGUAUAUUUCAAUUAUGUAUAGGUAAUAUAUAUUAUAUUAAUUUAUAUUUUAUUUUAUAUAAAAUAUAUUUUUAUAUUUCUAUAAUAUAUUUAUACAAAUAUUAUGUAUUAUAUAAAUUAUAUAUAAUAUAAAUAUGCAAUUAUACAAAUUUAUGAAUAUUAAAUAUUAAAAAUUAUAUAUUUAAUAUAUACAUAAUAUAUAUGUUUAUGUAUAUUUAUAAUAUGCAUUUAUAUUAUGUAUUAUAUAUAAUAUUAUACAUUUAUACAUUUAUAUUAAUUUACAUAAUAUUAAUUAUACAUUUAUACAUGAUAUUAAUACCUUUAUACAUUUAUAUAUAUUAUAUUAAUACACCUAUACAUAAUAUUAAUAUAUAUUUAUAAUAUAUUAAUUUAUACAUUUAUAAUUUAUACACAUUUAUAAUAACAAAAAUUUAUACAUUUAUAAAUACAUUUAUAUUAUGUAUUAUAUAUAAUAUAAAUGCAUUUAUAAAUACAUAAAUGCAUUUCUUUAUAAAUAUAUAUAAAUGUAUUAUAAAUACAUAAAUGUAUAUAAAUAUAUAAAUAUAAACUUUAUAAUUUAUAAUUUAUAAUUUAUACAUUUAUAUAAUAUUCACUUAUAAUUUAUAUAUUUAUAAUAAUAUACAUUUAUAUAUAAAUAUAUAUAAAUAUUUAUUUAUAAAUAUAUGUAAAUAUUUAUUCAUAAAUAUAUGUAAAUAUUCAUUUAUAAAUAUUUAUAAAUAUAUGUAAAUAUUUAUUUAUAAAUAUAUGUAAAUAUUAAUUUAAAAAUAUAUAUAAAUAUUUAUAUAUACAUAUAUAUAAAUAUUCAUUUAUAAAUAUUUAUACAGGUAUUUACAAAAUUAUAUAAAUAUAUUUAUAAAUAAAUAUAAAAAUAUAAAAUUUAUAAUUUAUACAUUUAUAUAAUAUUCAUUUACACAUUUAUAAAAAUAUUUAUAUUAUGUAUUAUAUAUAAUAUAAUACAUUUAUAAUACAUUUACUUAUAUUUAUAUAAAUAUAUAUAUAUAUAUUUAUAAAUAUUUAUAAAUGUAUUAUAAAUGCAUAAAUGUAUAUAAAUAUAAAAAUAUAUAAAUUAUAAAUUAUAAUUCUUACAUUUAUAUGAUAUUCAUUUAUAAUUUAUAUAUUUAUAAAUGUAUUUAUAUUAUGUAUUAUAUAUAAUAUAAUACAUUUAUAUUUAUUUAUAAAUAUAUAAAUUUAUUUAUUUAUAAAUAUAUAAAUUUAUUUAUUUAUAAAUAUUUAUAAAUGUAUUAUAAAUGCAUAAAUGUAUAUAAAUAUAAUAAUAUAAAAAUUGGAAAUUAUAAUUUAUACAUUUAUGUGAUAUUCAUUUAUAAUUUAUACCUUUAUAAUUUAUAUAUUUUUAUAUAAAUAUAUUAAUAUAUUUAUUUAUAAAUAUUUAUAAAUGUAUUAUAAAUGCAUAAAUAUAUAUUGUUAUAAAAAUAUAUAAAUUAUAAAUUAUAAAAAUACUUGAAAAUAUGUUUUAAAAAUACAUCUAAAAAUAAUCCAUAAAACAUAUACAGUAAAAGUUUUUCAUAUAGUUUUUGAAAAACAACCCCAAAAAUAACUAAUCCAAACGGACUUGUAUUUGAAAAACGAAAUGCUACAGUGCUGUUUUUGAAAAACAACCCCAAAAACAGCUAAUCCAAACGGACCCUUUGUUUUCUCUUCUAACUUCCUUUUCAAAUUAUUUUUGCAAUCAAAAACACUUUUUUGAUUUUUUAAAUCAUCAUUUUCCAUUCUCAAACAUUUGUUUUCUUGAAACAGUUUGGAGUUUUCUUCCAACAAAUCAUUUAUUUUUGUUUUCAAAUCUUUAUUUUUAGCAUAGGAUUUUCUCAAACUUUUAUACAUUUUAAUCAUAAGAAUUUUCACAUCAUCAUCUUCAUUAUCUUCAUCACAAGAAGAGUGAUAAGAACUUACCUCAUCUUCUCCAACGGUCAUUAGUGCCAUUUGGGCCAACUCUUCUUUUUCUCUUUUUGAAUUGCAUUCAUCCCAUGUAAUUUUGCAAUCUCCUCUUGAGCAUCUCUUGUUGAAGAUCUUCUUGAAACUUUUGAUGUGAGGAGUUAUAUCAUUGUCCACUUCCAUGAUUUCAUUACCCAUGAAGGAUGGGUUAUCCCCCACUUGAGAUGCUUUAAAAGUUACGCCUCUCUUAUACAUUUUUGCAUUUUCUUCCUCUUGCACUUUGAAUUUCAGCUUUAAUUCAUAAGAGGUUAGGGUAUCCACAAGAGAUUCAAUGGACAUAAAAUUUAAAUCCUUUGCCUCUUCUAUAGCAUUUAUUUUGUUUUCCCAUUCUUUUGGUAAGGCAUUCAAAAUCUUUCUAUUUUUCUCACCCAAAGAAUAUUCUUUUCCAAGCAAUUUAAGAUCUUCAAUAAUGUCACAAAAUCUACUACACAUCUUAUCAACAUUUUCAAGAGGAUGCAUUUUGAAAAAUUCAUAUUGAGAAACAAGCAAAGAUUUCUUUUGUUCUUUAAUAUCUUGGUUACCUUCAUGAAAUACACACAAUUUAUCCCAAAUAUAUUUAGCUGAUUUACAACCUUUAAUCCUACUAGAUUCAUUUACAUCUAAUGCAUUGUACAAUAUACACAUGGCCUUGGCAUUCAAAGAAAGGUAUCUCUUGUCUUUUUCAUUCAAUUCUUGUCUAGUCUUUAAUCUACUCAAAUUGGUGAUAGAGUCAACUAUUCUAGCUUCAUAAGGACCAUCUUCUACCACAUACCACAAUUCAAUAUAAACGGAUUGUAAGAAAAUCAUCAUUCUUUGUUUCCACAUGCUAAAAUGAGAACCAUUAAACAUAGGUGGUCUAUCAAUAGAUUGCCCUUCUAAAAAAGAAACUUUUAUGGUUGCCAUGAUCUUUACUCUAAGCGGUUAAGCUUGAUCAAAAGAGACCAAGCUCUGAUACCAAUUGUAAGAGCCCGGUGCAACCCAAUGAGUACAAACAAAUUCACAAUGAUGCACAAAGAUAUAUCAAAUUUAAGCACAAUAAAGAAAACUUAAUUAAAGAGAAAAGAUAAGAAAUGCAAACCAAAUAUCAAACCAAUAGCCUCUUCAAUUGAUGGCGAUGCUAACCAAGAUGUACAAGUGAAGGCUCACUCCUUCCUCACCCCAAACACACUUUGGUUGAGCCAAGGAGUUUUACAACUAUUCUAAUUAACCCUCAACAACCUACACUUGAAAGAUCACUCACCCAAUUAAGAACUAUUUUAUACAAAUGAGGCAACCUUCACCAAGGUUUUACUACUCCAAGUGAUAAGUUCACCUUCACCAAGGUUUUGCUCCUCCUAGAGAGUAACCUUCACUUGAGCAACCUCACAACCCAACUUUCCCAACCCCUUAUACAACCAACAAAGAAUCUUUCUACUCAAAAAUCUCACUUGUAAGCUUGUAUUUUGUGUUGGCAAAAGUCUUGUGUUUUCUUGUGCUUUGGGGUAUUUAUAGAAGAUGAGAAAUGGCUCCAAAAGUCUCUCCAACGGUCAAAUAUUAAAUGCUAUCAAAACUAGCCGUUGGUCUGUCGGACGUCCGAACGCACCUGUCGGACGUCCGAACCCUGCGUCCGAACGUAGGCAGAGAGUCAUCAAAUCUUUGCGAAAUUUCUCGGACGUCCGAUGCGAUCGAUGUGCGUCCGAAGCGUGCGUCCGAUCCUUCCGGACGUCCGAUGCUUCCUCACGAGCGUCCGACAGAGUUUCCUUCUUGAUGUUCUUCAUCCUUUCGGACGUCCGAUAGCGUCCGACAUGAGUGCCCUGUUUUUGCUUCUUCUUUUAUGCCACAAGAAUCUGUUCUAACAAAUUACUCACAUAAAAACAUUAGCCCAAAUCUACAUUUUGGUUUGUUAAUCAUCAAAACCAAGGAUUGAUCGACCAAGGUCAACACAUCUUCAACUUCCAGUUAAUUAACAAAUUUCCUACAUCUUUACACACUUACCUCGCUAAGAGCACAUUCAACAUAGCUCCUUAUCAGGUUCCUAUUAGUUUAUGAAGUCUUCAAAAUUUGUUUUAGUGCCACAAGAGUAGGCCGGAGUUGUUUCCUUGCGUCUUUCUCUCAUGAAGCUUCAACACAUUCCCAACAAAUUGCAAAUGCUAAUAUUACCGCUCCUACUUCAUAUUUGAAGACAAAUUGACUAGAGAAUAAGGGUUUGGACUUUCUAAUUGAACCUAGGAGUUGUCUAGCACAUUGAAGGGCAAUUUAUGUUGGAGAGCUUCAAGGAUACGGCUAUGGAGACGAAAUUGCCCAUGAAAAAGUUACUCUCCGUCUCUCAUGAUGGCAUUAGUAUAUGAAGUGAUCUAAACAUUACAGAUUUACUAGUUCGGUGGCAUUUUUGGCAUCUAAAAAAUUUCAGUGACCAAAAGUGGUACAUUUCAAUAGUUUAGUGCCAUUUAUGCAAUUUGCUCUUUUUUUAAAUGGCAUUUUCUUGCUACAUUUACCAAAAAGGCAAAAAUCUAAUCUCUUUUCUUAUGCAACAAAAAAAUAAUGAAAUAAAUACCAAGUUUUAAAGACAAUUGGCUAUUUCCUUUCCUCUUUUCAUACCAUCAUGUUGAACUUUAACAAGAAAAUGAUGAAGAUUGUUGAUGAGCAAGUUUUGAGGCAUGGAAAUGACAAGGGAUUCCAGCCCAGUAAGUAUGUUUUUAAUCUUGUACCAAAAUAUUGUAGGGCAAAUACUUUGAAUCAGUAAGGACUCUCACAAUACUUUUGGGGGUAUUUUUGAAAUAUUUUACUAUAGUUGUGUAUAUGAAAAAACUUUUACUAUAGAUAUGUUUUUGUAAUGUUUUUGGAGGGAUUUUUGGAAUAUAUUUUGGGGUAACUUUUCAAAUUAAAAUAUUUUUAUAGUACUUUUUAAAAAUUAACACAACUAUCCCAAGCACCACCACCACCACCUCUUUUCUCUUUCUCCUCCCUCUUCCCCCUCCCUCUUCCCUUCCCCCCACCUAUGUUUUCAGAACCGGACCGGAUAUCGACUCGGCCGAGGUCAGGGGUCAGGGGUCAAUGGGUUCGACCGAGGGUCGAUAGGGGUCGAACCGGAUAACGUCAUAAAUAAAAAUUAUUUAAAAAUUAAAUUAUUGUAUAUAAAAUAUCCAAUAACAUAUUGAUAUUAAUAAAGAUAUAUUCAUAUAUAUUUGAUGUUUCAAAUAUAUUUAACAAAAAAAUACAAAGAAAUUAGAACAAUCAAGUAACAAUUUAUAUUAUUUAAUAAACAUUAACAAGUUUAGAAUUAAAAUUAUGGAUUUAAUUGAAAAAUAACAUCAAAUUUUAGGACAAUAUUUAUAAAAUAUGAAAUAUUUGAGGUAUAUAAAUAAGUUUUCACAAUUUAGGGGGUCAAAACAUAAUAUUAAAAAAGUUUAAACUUUUUUUACAAAAUCUCCUGUUGGACCGGUUUUUCCGGUUUUGUACCGGUCAAACCCGGUUUUUGACCGGAGUUGACCGGGUUUUGAAUCUCCCGGUUCUAAUGAUCAACUCGGACCGGACACUUGGCCGGUUCUCGGUUCAACCGGUCGAAUUGGCCGGUCCGGUCCGAAUUUGAAAACACAGCCCCCCACCCCCCCGCCCUCUCCUCCCCCUCGAUCUAGUCUCCCUCUUCCCCUUCCCUUCCCCCCACCCCUCAGCCCUCCCCUCCCCCUCGAUCUAGUCUCGAGAAGAUCGAGGCCUCUGGUCUCCAGAUUGCAACCAGAAAGUUGUGACCUUCUGGUCGCGAUUAGGUCGUGACCGCAACUAGAGGCCUUGAUCUGGGGGUGGGAGGGAAAGGGAGGGCAGGAGAAAGAGGGAAAGGGAAGAGGGGAGGAGAAAGAGGGAGGGGGUGGCGGUUGCGGUGGUGGUGAUAGGUGAAAAAUGUUGUAGAAUUCUUUUUUAAGUUAUUAUGUAUAUUUAUGAGUUGUUUUUGAUAUAUUGUAUGAAUCAUAUAUUUUUUUUUUGUUUUUUAUUUGUGGAUUACUGUAACAUUGUAUUUAAAAAACUAGUUUUUAAAUACAGGUCUAUCCAAACGGAACCAUUUAAUUCUGCCAAUGAAUUGAUUGAAAUAAGGAUAUGAAUUUUCUUCAUGUUUCUUUCUGUUGUUUCAUUGACUUACUUCAUAUCUAAUCAACUUGUUGUGGAUAGGUGAAAUAUGUGACAUGUAUAUGUUUAGUCCCUUCAUUUUUCUUCUCUGCUUGUUACAAUUGUCCUCUGGAUCGCUUAAUAUGUUCGAAGUUGAUGGUCAUUUUUGUAUCUUUUCUGUUAUUCGUAAAUAUUUAGGCACAUUACAGCAGUAGAUUGUGGCUGCAACUUAUUGGAUUUGGAUGUCUGGAUGUACUGUAAAGAGGGAGAUAACCAUGAAAAAGUACUACAAUUUUCCAGCGAAGCCGCUAACGCUGUAAAGUGCAAGAUUUUGAUAAUGUAGUGUAGCAAUUGAUCAGAAUGAAUAAGAGGGCGAAAAGAGACAGACAUAGCUAGCUCGUGACUCUUCCUAUUUUUGCGCUAAAACCUCUUGAAGUGGUUUGAGACACACUGGAAAUUGGAAGUUCCAGUGAAGGAUAAAAUGCAAACUCUUAAAUGGAAGGUAAACGUUCUCCAAGCCUUCUUCAUCCACAAAAGGAAGCGGCACAUUGAUGACAAGAAUUUGCAACUUCUCCUAUGUCAUAUAGGUAGUGUGGCCUAUGAUGCAACUCAGAACUUCAUUCUGUCUAAAGGAAAAUGUUGGACCUUAAAAGAAAAGUUGUGCCUUAAAAUUUCAGAUGUUAUAGAGAAGCUGGAUGUGAUAAAACCCUGGAUGUGAUAAAACCCCACACCCGACAAGUUUAUGCUAUAGUAUCCGACUCAACAAUAUCCACUUGUUAUGAAGUUGAUGAAGUGAUGGAGCUUAUUCAAGUGUUUCUGGAGCAUAUGAAGAAUUAUUUCAGCCAGAGGGCUCAUUCAAUUCUUCCUCUGAUUAAAGAAAUGCGAGCCCUUGAGGAGAAUUUGAGGUAUAUAAGAAUUUUCCUUCAACUUGCUAGGACCCGGUGCAAUAAACAUGGGAUAUUGAAUGGUCUCCUGACACAUUCUGAGGCUGUGACUGACAGUGCAGCAUGUCUCUUGUACUUGUGUUGUGAAGAAAGCGAGAUGAAGGAUGACAUUUCUUGUCUAAUACAAAAGAUUAAGCCUUUUCAGCCAAAUGUGAGAGAGAUUUAUAUCAACGCCCUCAAAGCUUCAGAAUCAUCACUACGAGAUAUCAUUUCAGCAGAUGAACCUGUUCUUCACUUUCUUUAUACUCUUCUUGGCCAUAUGAUAGAGUUAUCAAAAGUGACGGCAAGUUUCAAGAGAUCUGUAAUGGAUCAAUUAAAAGCUUUGCACGAGAACCUACAGGUUACUAGAUGUUAUCUCUUUCAUCCAUCGGCUUUGCAGUACACUCAGAAGACUAAGAAAGCGAGUCAUCUACUUUUGCACAUCAAAGUAGUGCUCAGCCGUGCAGCAUAUGCUAUUUAUACAUUUUAUGGCAGUGAUAUUACUGAAGAAAUGGCUAGGGAACUGAAUCUUAAAAUUGCUGAUUUGCUUCUAGAGAUAGACGUUGUCAAGAUAAAAUCGAGAUACGUCUAUUUUAAUAUAAUUCCAAAAUCACUGAGGUCCAAUUUCCCCAAAACUGAUCAACUAGGCUUCAUGGAUUUGUGAUCAAAAAUCUUCAAGAGCUGCUAAGUUCAAAAGCUGAUUCAAUUCUUCAGCUGCAGUAUCAAAUGGAGAUGGUCCUUUUAUGUAUAUUAUCUCUCAGAGAAGAAUUUUUUGAAAUUUGGGAUCUUUUCCGAGAACAGGAGGAACAGAGGGACCCUUGGAUACGUUUCAAAGGCAUUGUGCACCAGACUUUCAAAGGCAUUGUUAUAGAUUCAUUUAUCGCCAGAAGUGGUCAUCUUUGGGAAUAGAAAAUGGGGCUGUUUGAUGUCCUGCAACAUAUUAAGAUUAUCAGCAGAAAGGUGAAUGCUAUUAAAAUCAAGAGAACUACCAACGCUCAAGUCCUCAAAUUUCCAAUGAACCUUGGUGGUUUUUCUUCUCUGGCUAGUUCAGGAAAUUUUGUUGGAUUGCGAGGUCCCAACCAUGAAGCUGGAAAUGAAACAUAGAAGCCCACUGGUCAUGUGGAGUAUUUUGUUCAUGAAGUGAAAAAGAUUGCGGAGCAACUCACUAAUGGUUUCACAGGUUGGUGCAUACUUUCGAUUAUGGGAAUGCCUGGCAUUGGUAAAACAACACUAGGCAAUUCAAUAUAUGAAAAUCCUUUGGUUCCCUUAUGCUUUCAUGCUCAUGCAAGGUGUCACGUCAGUCAUGCAUAUGAAAAGAGAAGACUGUUGCUUGAAAUUUUACAGCUAGUUUGUGGGGAAACUGACCAAGUAUGGAAAAUGGAGGAUGAAGAUUUAGCUCUAAAGUUGUAUCUAAGUCUCAAGGGCAAGAAGUAUUUCAUCUUCUUGGAUGAUUUGUGGGAUAUUAAACCAUGGAAUGAUAUAAAAGCCUCUUUCCCAGAUGAUGAGAGAGGUAGUAGAAUUAUGUUCACAAGCAGAUAUCAACAUAUUGCUUUGGAAACUGGAUGCAUGAGUGUGACUUACCCUUUCAAUCCAAUAUCAGAAUCUAGGACCUGGGAAUUGCUGCAAGUCAAGCUAUUUGGAAAAGAAAGAUGCCCUAAAGAACUUCUCGAAGUUGGACAGAAAGUUGCAGCAGAAUGCUGAGGUCUAACUCCUGCUGUGGAUCUGACAACUAUGAUGGCAAGAAACACAACACUUUGGGGGACAAAUUGCCAAUAGUUUAAAUGCACACCUUCUUGAACAUCAAGACAGACGGUGUAUGCACAUACUGGAACUUAGUUACAACCAGUUACCAGACCAUCUGAAACUGUGCUUUCUCUAUUUUGGAGCAUUCCUUUUGAUCCAGUUAUGGAUUGCAGAAGGAUUUGUUCAACUGCAAAAAGAUGAUGAAGGAAGUUCAGAGGAUGUAGCUUGAAAUUACUUGAAUGAUCUAAUUGCCAGAAGCCUUGUAAUAGAUUCCAAAAGAGGAUCCUUCAAUGGAGGAAAGCCAGCCAUGUUCAUGAUCUACUACAUGAUUUUGCGCUGGCAAAGGCUAAAGAAGAGUGUUUCUUGCAGCAGCGUACAUGUCUUGAUUCCAAGGAUUCGUCUUCUCAUGCCCAGACAUUGUAUGAGCCAUACCAUCUUUGCAUCUAUUCUUAUUGGGAGUGCUUCAAAGCAUCAAAGCCUUUUGGCCCACGUCUCCGCUCUGUAGUAUCAUCAGCCCUUUUGCAUUCUUGCCCGUUGGAGAACUUCAAACUUCUCAGGGUGCAGGAUCUUUCAGGCAUCCAUGUUGACUUUACUUAUUGCAUAUCCCAGUUGGUUCUUUUAAGAUUCUUAUCCAUUCGCACUUCCUCAACAAGUAUGCCAAGGGAAAUAAGCAACCUGCAGAAGCUGGAAACUCGUUUGGUGAGAGCAUAUAAUAUAACAGAAUGCAAUUGCCUGACACUAUUUGGAACUUGUUGAGAUUGAGGCAUCUCAAAAUAGAUGGGUCUUGCACUUUGCCACUAUAUAAUCAAGAAUUCAUAGAGUAAUUCUUCAGAUUUAAUAGCUUACAGACUCUUUCAACGCCAUGUUUAUUCUUCGAUGAAGGUAUUGAGAAGACAAUGAGAUUCGUAUCCAACCCUCAAAAGCUGAGUAGCAGAUUUCUGGAUUCAAGGGAUCAUACUUCCAAUUGCAAUCGUUUUCCGAUUUUGGACUUCCUCACUCGACUUGAGUCACUCAAAGUGUUCUGCUGUGGCCAAUUACUUCGUUAUCAUUGUGAAUUCUACUUUCCACAAACUGUUAACUGUUAAGAAGUUGAAGCUCUCAAAUUUUCGUUUACCAUGGAGCACAAUUUCAACCAUUGGGAAAUUGCCUAAUCUUGAGGUUCUCAAAUUAUCAGCCAUUUCCUUUCCGGGGAAAAGAUGGGACAUGCAAGAAGAUUUUGUUUUUUAAACUCAAAUUCUUGAAGCUAAAGACUUUGGACAUUGCACAUUGGAAUGCCUCAGACUCGGAGGAUCACCUCCCUUGCCUUGAGAUACUCAAAUUGUGAAUGCCUGCCUCCUUGCUUAGGGGAUAUACCCACACUGCAGAGGAUUGAGUUGCACAAUUGCACUCCUUCUUCUUGCAUUUCAGCCCAGACAGUCAAAGAAAAACAGGAGGAAAUCGGAAAUGAUCAGAUUGUCAUCAUCAGUUGAUAAUCCAGGACAUCAUCGUGUACAUCGGUGUACGUGGGUGUAAACAUUGCAGAAAAUAUCUCCUGUUUCUCUUAACGAGUUCUUCCUGCAAGAGAGUGUUCCGUUUCAUUCUUUUAAUCCACUUUCUUCUUCACUUUAUAAGCAUGAUCCAUUCAGUUAUACUUCAUAACAUUUUGAUCAUUGCCAUCGGGAGCUAAAAUGGAAAAGACCGAUUUGUAUUGCCAUUCAACCAUUCGAAUAAAAAAUGUGAUGAACACUUGGAGCUUACCAGUUACAUGAAUCUGGAUGAUCAGUUGUGGAUCCUUUAAUUGGCUGAUGCAAUUAAGAUGUGCAAAAUGAGUGAACUGGUUGUGUUUUGGGAAACUCUAAAUUUCUCUACUCAACUGCUGGACACCACUAAUGAGUCCACUUUAUUUGGUGGUGUUAGGGCAUCAAGUUCAUUAAGAUAAACCCUCUCCGCUUCUUAAAUCUCAUCCUUCUUCCAUUAUUUUUUUUUUUUAAGUUCAUUAAGAUACUGCAUUCCUUCUAAAUUGAUACAUUGAAAUAUUGGACAUUUUCUUAUUUCCCCACCUAUUAUCUUUCGCGGUUUUGCAUCAGAGUGAGGGGGGCAAAAGUGCAAGAUUAAUGUCAACAAUGGAUUGAAUUUAAAUGGUAAAGGACUCGCAGCUUUCGCAAGAGAUUGAGACUCCAGAGUAUGAGUUGUUUUUUCACCAUAAUCCGAGUUUAGUAGCAUUUAAAUGUCAAAAUGAAUCCUGAGGUUAGUAAGAUUUUCUCCAGAUGUUGUACUAUAGGUUUAAUUUUUUAUCAAGUUUACUUUUCGACUUGUUUAAUAACUGAGUUUAAGUUGGAAAAGGAUGUUUAUGCACAACAGUCCCUUAGCUUCUUUAAAAAUAAUGGGAGCUCUUUCCAAAUAUUGAAAAUGAAAUAUAUUGGAAUUUUUAUAAUCAACUUCAAGGACGAGAAACCAACUACUAGAGUCUGGCCUAGUAGGUAGGGAAAGUCUUUAGAGUUCUCUUGGCUAUCAGGUUCAGGGUUUGAAUAUGUAUUAAUUGCAGAUAGGAAGGAUGUGGGGAGAAGUAGAAGAGUUUUUUUUUUUUUUUUUUUUUAAAAAGGGGGGAAAAAACUUCAAGAACAAGGAAUUAAUAGAGAGUAAGUUUAACAUAUUGGAUGCUGCUACUACUACGUAUGCUAUUUGAGACUUCAAACUAAAACAUGUAAUUUUGGUGAUUAUGGCACCAGACUAAACCCUCAUUCCCCUUUAUUUUAUUUUUUUUUUGUCAAUUUUCAAAUUUGAAAACUUGACUCUGAUUUUAUGCCAGUAAUCACUAAUCGUUAUUGGAUUUUUUUUUUUUUUUGGUAUAGGUGAAACUUUAUUCUAUGAUAAAUAAUGAAAUUACAUUAGCUUCUCAGUUAAGUAGCUAUAUUAUAUGUUAACAAACUGCCUCUCUAUACACUUUUGGCCUUUUUUUUUUGUUCAUUUUUUGCAAAUACAUGUGGCAUAUUAUGGUGAGUACUUUGGGUAUCAACAAAAACUAAGACUAACUCUACCAAUACUUUAGUCUAGCUAAGACUGGUGGUACUAUUGGUACCAAAAUAUCUAUAUUUAUGUUUUUGUAUUCGAACUACCUUAAUGUUCUCUUGUAUGACAUUUGAGUUAAAUUUUUCAAUUUUUUGGGUAAUAUUUUGUCAUUCUUUAUGUCAUUUUAUGAUUUUUUUUUGUUUUAGUUUUGGUAAUUUUUUUAUUUUCUUUUUUUUUGGUUUAUUGUUAAUAUUGACUUGUAAAUGAUCCAUAGCGCUAUUUCAGUUAUGAGACUAUCUUUUAAUAUGAGUACUAAAUUUUUAAUUCACCAUUACUCAAAAGGAUGUUUUAUUUUUUUAUGAUUUUCAUUGAAAUAUAGUAAAAUGUAUCUAACUAUUGGAGAGCAGGGUAGUUUUGGUAUCAAAACAAUUAAGACCAACUUUUGCUUGCACGCCUAACUAACUAAAACUCAUGGCACUUUUAUAUAGUAGAGAGUAAAGAUAGAUAGAUAUAAAUAGAUAUAGAUAGAUGUACUACAGGUUCUUUUGUUAACUUCUACUUCAUCUUUUCAAAUCACUUAUUUUAAGUCGAGAAAAGAUGAUUACACACAAUAGCCCUUUGGUUCUUUCAAAAAUAAUUGUAGCUUUUCUCCAAAUAUUUGAAAAUAAAUUUGAUUGGGUUUUCAUAAUUUAUUGUUGAAAUUAAAUUAAUUGAGAGAUUCCAAGCAUUACAAGGAAGAGCCAGAAAGGAAAGGACUCGAGAGUCGAUCCGAGAAUCUCACGAUCACUUAAUUAAUCUCUAUAUAAACUAAGUUAGGCCUUGGAGACCUUUCAUGAUUUAUUGGCCUAUGGGAGAAAAACAAAAGGUUGAAGCAAUAGAGAAUAGGCCCUAACGUGAUGGACAUUACAAUCUUAUAAACUUUCUGAGACUUGAAAUAAACCCUCCAAUUUUGGAUUUGCGCCCACAAACUAAAGCCAGAUUACCCUUUAAUUUUCAACCAAUCUUUAAAUCCAUGAAUUUUAGAUUUUAAUUUUGGUUAUUUUCAGUCUCAUCACCCCUUGAUGAUUCAUGUUAUAGAAUACAUGUAGUGGACUUGUUGCUGCACUGGAUAUUCUUUCGUAUUUUAAAGUUAAACAAAUAUUACAUUAUUGUCUUUCUGACUUGAGUAAGCUAAAUUAUGUGACAAGAAACAGUCCAUCUAUCCACUUUAGGCCCUUUUUUAAAAAAUAAAAUAAAAUAAAGAAAAGAAAGAUGCAAUUCAUGACAUUUCUUCUUUGUGAACUAUUACCAUUAACUGAUGGUUUAAAAUAAAAAAUAAAAAAUAAAAAAAAAUGAAAUGAAUGGGUGCAAUCUUGACAUUUCUUCUUUGUGAACCAGAACACCAAAUAACUAAUGGUUGAGGCCCUCGAUGAUAGCAUCUUGAUCUUGAUCAUGUGACUCAAUCUGCAAAAGUUUCAUAAGGGUCAACCUAAAGUAACUACUAUCUACAUUGGAAAUGCUCAUUUACAGAUGUUAGCACUCGAGAUAUUGAACAGUUUAUUAUUCUACAAUGGUACAUUCUGGCAAUCAUAUAUUAUUCCAUGGGAAACAGAGCAUUAGAAGGAACCAAUGGGACGCGGGUGUCCAGUUUCUGCAUCCAAGUAGCAAAGGAUAAAGUAGUUCCAUGAUCAAAAUCAAACCCCUAGGAUGAAGCACUCUUGACUCGGAGAAUCUGCACAUUCUGAGAAGAGAGUAAGAAGUAAGACACUUCAUGCACAUUCAAAAGUUCACUAAAAGGAACAAUCCAGACCAAAUAUAUCUCCAUUUCAACCACCACUCUCUCUCACUUAAAAAACACCUCUUCAUCCUCCAAAUCAUCAAGCACUAGUUUCAUCCCAAGAACCAAGAUCAUUCACUAAACAUGAAACCAUAAUCACUAAACAUACUGAAAGAAACAAAGAUCAUUCAAGCUGUUUUCUGGCUUGCAAAGUCACUGCAAAGUAAUUACUACCAAGGCUUCCUUAUCUUUCAAACUGUAUGAAAACAAAACGACUAGCAUGUUAAAAAAUUUAUGACAUACCUAUGCAAUCAAACUAUUAGCCAUUAGCCAAAGCUUCCAAAUUCCAACAUUAUUUUGUUUACUACAACAUGUGAAACAGUAUAUGAUUUUUCACCUUUUAAUGCACAAUAGCCAACUGCCUUCUGUUACUACCACACGAGAAGUUCUGAAGCAGCAAUCUUGGUCCCGAAAAGACAGGCCCGAUAAUCUGCCUCUCAAAUUUGCCAAGGAUGUGCAUUACAAAAAUGCUGAUGAUGUAAACCUAUUACAGGCCUAUAUCUUUAAAAGAUGCUAAACUAAACUAGACAUAAACAAACACAACAGACAAGUACACAGACCGAUGUUGAGGGUCAUUAAGAGUUCUGCAAUCAAUUUUGCCUGUCCAAAACUCAAAUUGAAUGGGGCUCUUUUUUAGGAUGAAACUUAGAAUAUCCAGAAUUACCUUCCACUCUGCCAUUUAUUGUGUAACCACAAUCCAACUCCUUCCAUGUAAAUUCAUCUCUCUCUUGGUCUCUCUGAGUCAGAACAGGUUGUGAUCUGUCAACUAGCCAGUCAUCCAUCGGGUCAAUGUCUUCACUUGCUAAGUCAUUUGCUAUACCUAGGUUGAAAUUUUGAAGUUGUAGAUUAUAAUGCACAAAUACCAUUGCAGCCAGCCUCUCUUGCUCUAUUGGGUUCCUCCCUGUAGUGAGUAACUUCUCAGCCAAGCUCCUCUUCAGAUUAUAUUUUGUGCCACCAGUACAUGUCUGGCUUAAGAUUCGAACAGCAAGUUGCUGCAACUGAGGAUAUCCACUUCCAUACUUGAACCACCAGCUUUCUGAAACAAAUACAUAAAUCAGAAUAACUAAAUUUGAACUAGAUGAUUAAUUAUUAAAGCUGAAGUAUGUAUAAUAUCACCUAGAGAAGACUGCAGAUCGGAACUUCCUUGACCAAAAUUACCCUUUGCCGCACGAUACUCUUCAAUCUGCAAACUUAUCAUAUCUUGGCUACCAGGAUCUUCAACCAAACGUACAAUACAGCACAGAAGGCCGCUGGUAAUUUCUGAAUCUGUAUAGAAAUCAUUAACAUAAAAUAACUUCGGAUUCAAGAAAUACCCUGCGGCAUGGAGAGGGCUAUGUAAACGUCCAUUCCAGAUGUCAUCAAUUGCUUUCCAAAAUGGCAUGUAUGUAGAUUCCUUGUCACUGAGUUCCUCUCUGAUUGUUUCUUUGGCCUGAUCCAUUAUCUCAUAGAUAUUACCCAAUUGUGGGUUAUUAUUCUUUGUUAUCAAGUCUAUAACACGCACAAGUGGUAUGGUCGCCUUAACAACCAAUUCUGCUCCAGUCCAAAACGAGCAAUCAGCCACCAAGUCAGCCACUCUUUUUCCUUCCAUUGAGGAAGCCCAUCUCGAGGUCUUCCAAGCAGACGAAAGAAACAUGUUCUGCAAGUUCUCUUGUUCAGAGACCAAAUUCUCAAGAGUUAAGAAAGGCUCUGCCAACUUGAACUUGGAUUGUCUAACCAAGUACUUGAUGGAAGUGUGACUUCUCAGAAGUUUCAGAACACUUGCAUGGCUAUGCACAAAUCUUGUGAUAGUUUUUGCCUUAUCCAUUGUCUCUUUAACCUUUUUCAUUGUCCCCAUUUUCUCCAACAUAAGUUCUAGACAAUGAGAAGCACAAGCUGUCCAGAAAAGUGUCUUGUAUUUUCCCAUCACCAGUUUGCCAACAGUCUCCAUCCAGGAUGACUUGGAGUUUGCAAUGAUUUGGACUACAUUCUGAACAUCAACUUCCUUGAGGACAUCAUCCAGGAAUUCCAGCAUGCAACUGCCCUCCUCAUCAAACCCAGUAAUGUCUGCAGAUCGAAUGUAAAUUGUACCUUUUGGGCAGGCCACUAGAACAUUCAGAAGUUUCCGACCUGUCAACUCUUCCCACCCAUCCAACAAGAUGCUACACCCUGUCUUCAUCCACGAACUCUUAAUCUCUCUCACAUACUGUUGCAUCUCUUCCACUGAUUCCUGCAGGAUCCACCCUCUUAAAUCCUCAGAGCUAGGAAUCGGGUAUGCUGUAUGUUCAGAACCAAACUUCGCAUUCAUCAUUUUCUGAAAGCUAGGACAUCUUGCAGCAUCCAAGUCAAUUCCUGUUUCAUAGAAGAAUCUACCUAUCAGCUUCUGAAAUUCCCUUGAAGAGGAACAUUGGUUACUUGCAGCUGAUUGAGAACCAAGUGUCAUCUUGGCACCAGAGACUGACAGAGAUCCAUGGUUUUCAGAUGGUGCAGCAAUCUUCCGCCGUUUUUCACUUCCCAUGCCAGAAGUUUUUGUACGCCCUGGUUGAUAGGGCUCUGCAGAAUUUGGACGAGGCAAUGAGUUUCUCCUUGAAGGGAGGUUAGGGGAACAAAGUUCCCCAACUUCCCUACUGACAUUUCCUGUAUUCUUUUCAAGUAACUCAUCUCGAAAUACUUCCAUCACAUUGUUAGGAACUUGCACACAAGGAACCACAUUACCCCGGAUUCCUCCUAAGUGGUACUUAAGGCGACUAAACCCACUGACAACCUUUCCACAAUAAUUGCACCUGAUUCGCGUCUUCUUCUCAUCAAGAGCUGUCCCAUGGUCUUGAAUUUUAACCCAAAGAUCCUUUGAAGCCAUAACCGUAAUUUUAUUAGACCCAAUAUGGCGCACACAAGUUCUCCAAUCAGCACGGAUCUAAGGAAGCGUUAAAAGAUGAGCUGCAUCAAAGCAUGAAGGAAACAUACAAUAAGCAUCAUUACUAGGAAACUGGUUAAUGCCAUUAGAGUUGCUUCUGGAAUGUCCUCCAACGGACUAACAGUUUAAUAUAGCUCUCACCCCCAUCACACAUGCUACACUAGGCAAAAAUCUUAAAAUUCAAAAUGUGUAUACUUGGUAAAUGGAAAAAGGGCAUGUUGAAAGCACAACAGAGGAGAAAAUUUCACAUGUAGACCAAUCUGGUUCUGCGAUUCAUUGAUGAGAGAUUGUUGCUGAUGAAUUAGGAUUUGUUAAGCAGUAGAAUAUCAAAUUGAUUUUCUUUUCAACAAAGAAAAAGAACUUGAGCCCAAACCAUAAGAAUACAAGGAAUUUUUUAAACAACUUUUGUUGUCCAAAUGGUAAUUAGGACAACACUAUCUCUCUCCAAAUUUUCCAAGGACAACAUGAUAAUUGUUAAAACCAAAAACCAUGCAUAUAAAACAUUCAAGGAAGGGGAAAAAGGAAGGAUGAGAAAAAAAUGACAACCUAAAGCCACUGAAGCGGUGCGACCACAACUCAUGAAAGCAGAAAUACAGAUAAUCCACUCUCUCUCUCUCUUCCCCCCCCCCCUCCCUUUCCCUUUUUUCAAGAUAACAGUCCAAAAAUAGGAGAUUUUUUCUGGGAUAUCAUCAGAAAAAGAUUUUCAAAAUGUGGAAGGGAAAAGUUGCACCAGAUUGUAAUGUCAUUGACACCAAAAGCAACAGGGAAACUGAAGCAAGCAAGGAAGUGCAGAUAGGCAAUUCAAUCCACGAGAAGGAAAUAAGAUGCGGAGAAAGGAUGGACUUUACCUGGUGGGUUGGCACGAGGGAUGUAAGUCAAAUAUUGAGCAGAUAUAUUUCUUUUGCAGGACAACAACUACAGUAAAGAAUAAAGGCAAAGACAUCUACAAGUGAUUGAAGAGGGAGGACUCUUAAUCAUACAGCUUUUUUUCUUCCAGAGCCACUCCAAAAGUUUUCAACCUUGAAAGGAAAAAAGACUGCAGCUAGCUCCGUAGCAAGCACUUGUAAAGUUGAGAUGACACUUCCAAAUAAUGACAAUGACAGAUGAGGAUGGAAAUGGACAAUUCUGAAUAAGAUUUAUGUCAAACUAUAUCCCACUAUUCCCACCGACCCACCGACCCACCGAUCAACCAGCAAGGCCCUGUUUGGUUCCAGCAAUCCAGUGGGGAAAGGAAAUCGAGCAAAACUGCAUGAUAUUGGUUACCAAAAGAAAAUUGAUUGGCAAUGGGAAAAAGGAUUUCCAAUAGGUACUACUCCUUGGCUUGGAUUGUAAAUCUUGUGAAAGAAAUGAAAAUAGAAAGUAGCAAAUAAGAAAGAAAUUUCAUCAUCUAGUAAAGAUAAUCCAUCUACUGGAAAAAAUUAAACUCAAACAGUUGACAGUUUCAACUCUUAAACAAACACAAACAGUUGGACCACUUUUCCAUAAGUUCUAAUUUCAAAUUAAUAAUUUUUUGGUUGCUUCACUUCCCUCACCAACCAAACUCCAUCCUGUGCCCGAAAAAAGAGGUUAAACAACAAAAUAAAAUAAAAUGCAUCCAAGUGAAGAAUUACAAAAGACCCAGAAACCUAUGGAAAAAACAAUGUAGCUAAAUAAUAAUAUGCUCCUGAUCUUUAUAUCAAGGGCAGUAGUUGAUUAUGGGAUCUGGUCUACUAAAUGCAAAAGUCAAGAACAGCUGCUUAUGGAAGUCAAGGACAACAGCUAAUUAUGGGAUCUGGUCUGCUAGCAAAAGUAAAAGUCAAGAACAGCUGCUUAUGGAAGUCAUGGGCAACAACUGAUUAUGGGAUCUGAUCUGCUAGCAAAAGACAAGAACAGCUGCUUAUGGGAUCUAGUCUACUAAUUGCACUAAUCAAGGAGAGCUGAUUAUGGUCUACUAUAUUAGAUGUAUAUUAGCAUAUCUGUAAUUAAUACAUUAGGGAGAUAGAUAUUCUGACGGAGGAGAGAAGGUACAGAGUUUUUCUAUUUAAAUGGAAAAGAUGCACAAAAGAUGUAUUCAGUCUUUGAUCUAGAAAACUUGUCAUGGUAUCAGAGCCAGUUAUUUGAAUUUCUCAGCCUUUCCAAACUUUCUGAGUUGUUAUUCUUCUUGGGUUGAUUAUUUUGAUCAAUCAUUUGGUUUCAAGAUAUCCUUUUGGGUCAAUCAUAUUGUGGUUGGCAGCUUUUCUUGUAAUUCAGAUCUUUGUUUUUUUCUUGAAAGAAUGUCUAUGGAAAACUCUUUGGGAAAAAUACAUACGGAAUCUUUGUCCAUCAAGUUCACUGGAAAAAAUUAUGCGGCAUGGGAAUUUCAAUUUAGGAUGUUUCUAAAAGGCAAAGAGCUUUGGAGUCAUAUUGACGGGUCUUCUACAGCACCUAGAGAUGGAAAGGAAAUUAGUCAAUGGGAGGCAAAGGAUGCUAGAAUUAUUUCUUGGAUUCUAGCAUCUAUUGAAGCUCAUAUGGUGAACAAUUUACGCUCCUUUAAUACAGCAAAGGAGAUGUGGGAUCAUUUGAAGCGUGUAUAUCAUCAAGAUAAUACAGCAAGAAGAUUUCAGCUUGAAUUGGAAAUUAGUACAUGUAGCCAAGGUAAUCUCUCUAUUGAGCAGUAUUAUUCUGGAUUUCUUAAUUUAUGGAGUGAAUACUCUGGUAUAAUCUAUUCUAAGGUACCAAGCGAAGCCUUAGCCGGUAUUCAAGCGGUUCACGAAGAUAGUAAGCGUGACCAGUUUCUAAUGAAACUGAGGCCUCUUAGGUGAGCUUGGGUUUCCCCAACUUGCACCUACUCCCCUUCAUGCCGAUAAUACUAGCGCUAUUCACAUUGCUGCUAAUCCUGUAUUCCAUGAGCGUACAAAACAUAUUGAAGUUGAUUGUCACUCUAUCCGUGAAGCAUAUGAUGAUCAUGUUAUUUCUCUUCCUCAUAUUACCACUGAUCUCCAAACUGCUGAUAUAUUUACUAAAGCUCUCUCCCGUCAUAGACACAAUUUUUUGGUUGACAAAUUGAAGCUUGUUGGUCAACCAGCAUCAAUUUGAGGGGGGAUAUCAAGGGCAGUAGUUGAUUAUGGGAUCUGGUCUACUAAAUGCAAAAGUCAAGAACAGCUGCUUAUGGAAGUCAAGGACAACAGCUAAUUAUGGGAUCUGGUCUGCUAGCAAAAGUAAAAGUCAAGAACAGCUGCUUAUGGAAGUCAUGGGCAACAACUGAUUAUGGGAUCUGAUCUGCUAGCAAAAGACAAGAACAGCUGCUUAUGGGAUCUAGUCUACUAAUUGCACUAAUCAAGGAGAGCUGAUUAUGGUCUACUAUAUUAGAUGUAUAUUAGCAUAUCUGUAAUUAAUACAUUAGGGAGAUAGAUAUUCUGACGGAGGAGAGAAGGUACAGAGUUUUUCUAUUUAAAUGGAAAAGAUGCACAAAAGAUGUAUUCAGUCUUUGAUCUAGAAAACUUGUCACUUUAUAGUGGUAAUCAACAAGACACUAUUCUCCAUAUUAUAAUGUCAAAAGCCCAUUUCCAUUGACUUUGUUCUGGACUGGGCAGUACAAUUCCUGUAACACAAUCCUCCUUCCACAAAAUUUCAUCCAAUUCAAGAAGGGUGCAUUCACGAUGAGAAGCACUAGGCUGUGCUCAUUUGAUUUCAAACCAAUUAUCAUAAGGAUUUACUUAGAGAACAAAAAAAAAUAAAGUUUCUUUUGAUAAUACAUUGAGGUGAAGUUUAUAAAGCAAGGCCUCUUGUUACUAAAGAGACAAAACCAAAAGUUCUUUGGCCACAAUAGUAAUGAUUGGGUGACCAUGAUUUUUUGGUGCUACAAUUACAUUUCCAUCAGAUUUGUUAAUGCAAAUACUGUGCCAGCUAAGAACACUAGACUCAGGCAUUACAGUAAGGAAAGAUAAGCAUGUGAAUAUUCACAUCAAAAAGCACUAUAUAAACCUCAUACCAUUUUAGCGAUAGCAAACACAUCGUUACUAAUUAAAAAAAUAUUGUUGAUUUUUUGGGGCAUAAACUAAGAAACAUCACCUUAGUGUUGCAAAAAAAAAGCUUAUAAAAGACUUGUAUUGAAGCUGAAGAUAAGCUUGUGUUAUUCAUUCAUCAACUCACUAUUUAUAGUGAUUACAUGAAACAAACUAGCAAAAUAUCCAGUUAACAAUUAUCCUAUAAGUCUCAAGAAAAUAUAAUCUUCUUCUACUAGCAAAUCUUAGCAAAAAUAUUUGUUAACAAACCAACAUGAUAUUUGGUUAACAAAUAUCCUUAUUCUUCCAAUAACUAAAUUAUUUUGAUACCAAACAUAAUCUAACAAAAUCUGUAGGAAAAGUUGGCAUAUCUCAACAAAUAUCCAUGACAACCAGCUUAUAAUUAAACACAUCCUUACUAAUUAAACAAAAUCCAUCACAACCAGCUUAUAAUUCAAUAAACGCAAGAACAGAAAAUCCAAAAGGCACAGACUGGAACGCAUACCAGCUUGUUAUUCAAGAAAUGCCAGAACAGAAAUCCAAAAGGCACAGACUGGACCAUAUAUGCAUACAUACAAACGCACAUAUAUAUAACUCAUCAAGCAUGGGGAACACAACCCAGCUGCAAAGUAGCUAAAUCUUUAGCUAGACACUAUAUAUCAAAUCUCCUGAAAAUAACAAUAAUAAAAAAUAAAGAUACAUGAAAGGUACUAGACAUCAACAAGGUUAUCAAUCCACGCCACAUGAUACCUAUGGCUCCAACAUGCUGUUGCACAAUUUCAAUUUUGUGCAAGACAUCCAGAGGCACUAGUUCUAAAGGAGCAUGAUGUGGGUCCUCCCAUAGCACCAAUGUCUUAUCUGGAAACAAACAAUUAACCAUUAUCAACUUUCCUCAUUCACAGCAGUAUGUAUACCUGCCCAAUUGUAUGCAGGUUGAUCAAAUCUCAUAAAUGAAGAAAAAAGUAUUUACAGGCUUCAUUUUGAUUUCAAAAGAUACAUAAACACAAUUUACACAAGGACAUUGUCGCUUCUAAACAAUCAUACUGAUGCCAUUAGCCAAAGAGAAUAGGAAUAUCAUAGGACACGAUAAGUCGCAGAAUCACUAUGGCUUACCAUAUCUCCAAAAGAAGACUUGAGAACUUCAAGAUUCAUAGUGUCAAUGGUAUUUACAAGUACAUCAUAUGAGAUCAAACAAUAUAAUCCAGGAUUCAGCACUGAUCAAGAUUGAAGACCAUGCUUAGAAAUAAGUGGGGACUGUGAUCACAUACUCAGCAUAAGAACACUAGAAACUGUCAAACAGAUUCAGCAAUGAAACAUCACCAUAAAGCUGAGAAAAUGAACACAAAGCAUCUUUUGUUCAGUCAAUGCAACUAUUUACAAGACCCACAAACAUGAAUAAAAGGACUCAGAAUUCCUAAUCAGUAUCUGAAACUAAAAACUUCAUUAUGUCAAUACCCAUAGGGAGGAAAAACCAUCAGAGAGAAAUUUAAGAAAAAUAAAUGAUUGUCAAGUCUCGGAAACAAUCCUAAAGGGGAAAAAAUCAUCUUGAAUUGUGCCUGGAACUCCAGGAAUAAUUGGAAAAGUCAUGCAUUUUUAAACACGUUAAUAUCAGGUUUAUGAGUUGAACUAGGUCUCUAGGAUUAUAACAAGGAAUGACCUUGAACUGGAUAAGAAGUAUUCUAUUUAAAUAUUACAGGUACAGAUAAGAACAUUCAUGAGUUAUCAGUGUUUGAAAAAGGUAAGAAAUUGAAAGAAGACUCCUUUCAAGAUUAAUCAAUCAAUUGACUCCAAAAUCCUCAUGAAUAAGAGUCAGCUUCUUCAAUGCAGAAUGAUCAGAGAUUACUCAACAGACCUAAAAGCUACAAGGAAAAGGCAGCACGUGCUUCAUUCAAUUCAAUCAACUCAGUUAUUUUAGACAGCAGAGUACCAGUUAUUAAUAGCUCUAGCAACAUUUUGGGUUCCCAAACAACACGGAGCAACAAGGACAGUAGUUCACGGAAUUGAACAAAUAUAAAUGGUUACAAAGUCUGAGUUAUAGACAGAGUGGACAACAUUGACAUGCAGUUGAGACAAUGUUAAAUAGGUUCCAGAGUAAAAUGCAAAACACACAAUCAUAGAUACUUUAAAAGAGAUUAUCGAAUUGCAGCUGAACUAAACAUUUUAACCACAUUUUUAGAUCCAAAUCCACUGUUUUAUUAAACAACAUAAAACAGGCAUAGCAUCUUGGACACCAAUAAUUGCUAUAACCAACAAUCAUAAGAAACUGCGAAUAGGGGCAGUUGGACCAAGUUGCUUGCAAGCCGCUGUCAACCAGCUUGAUCAACAGCUCAACUGGACUUAGAGUUGACCAAGCUUGAGUUGAGCUAGAAUGCAGCUUGAGCAUCACUUGAGUUGAGCUCAUAAUUCAUGAAAAGUUUUAUUCUAUCUAUUCUUGAGAAUUCCAUUAUUCCAUAAUAAUCGAGCUCAAUAGGCUUGAACUCAGGCUCAAUAAGCCUUGACUCAUUCUGUAGCUUACUCGAGUUGAGGAGGAGUAAGUUAAUUUUUCCUAUUUUAAUCAAAUCUACCUUGAGUACACAUUUAGUAGCUCGACUUUGAAAAUUCAACUUGAGCACUCCAAUUUUGGUACAGUUGACUCAGCUCGUUAACACCCAUAUGCAAUACUAGCCAUGGUUAGACAUCAGUGCAUUCAGCAACAUCAAACAUCAUAAACACAACCACAAAUAUAUAUACAAAACGUAACCACAUCUUGAAUGUACAAGGUAAAAAUAGAUCAAAAUUUCUGAUAUAGCCUAUACAUCAAAAAACCCAGUACUAAGUUUUUACAUGUUCUACUAAUGGCACAUUUAUGACAUCAGAACAACUAGUUAACACUGGGCCGAUGUUGCCUUUGAUUUGGAUAAAGAAAAUAACUUUCCUCUAAGACUUGUUGUACUUCGUAGAGAAACAGCUUUAGGCUUGACAAUAUGGAAUUCAACAGAUACAUAAAGAACAAAUCACGUAACUGCUUUCAGCAUCUUCAAAUUUAGAAACUAACAGGAAAAAAUAAACAAAAACAAGAAAAAAUAUAGAAAUUGGAAAAGAUACGACAGGAGAAGAAACAUCAAGCCAGAGCAUCACUCCAGUUUCUUGGCUUCCCCAUUUCAUUGAAAAGACAAAAAGAAAACGAAAACUUGAGCUAGUACUUACAAACUAGUAAUUAUCCAAGUUCAAGCAACUAAAUCCAUACUUAACCAAAGUACAUCAAAAUCAUAACUUUUCAGAAACCCUUUCUAGAAUUUAGCAAUUCCAAGAUAAAAAAACUUGACAAAAAGC
rnacentral:lncRNA from 1 species